AAAGAUUUGGCUGUGGAAUGCAAUGCUUGCAAGCUACCAAUCUUGGGUCCAGGUUAUACAUGUCUUGAUUGUUUCAAUAUCAAAAUUCAUGAAUCUUGUCUUGCACUUAUGCGGGAGAUGCAGCUCAACUUUCAUCCAUUACACCUCCUUCAUCCACAAAUUGGCGAUUGGGAAAAUUGUUUUGCCUGUAGAUUUAAAAUCAUUGAAAGUAUCGAUUAUAGUUGUCGACAGUGUGAUUUUCACCUUCAUCUUCAUUGUGCUAAUUCCCUGAAGCUGGCCUUAAAAAUUAAGUCUCACGUGCAUAAUCUCUAUUAUUUUGGACCAGAUUAUGAGAAAUCCUACCAAUUAUGUAACAAAUGCAAAAGUUACAUUGGUAAGGAACCUUUCUAUUAUUGCGUGGAGUGCAAUAUGAAUUUGCACUUAAAAUGUGUUCCCAUACCAUGUUCAGUUAAAUCCAAAUGUCACAUGCAUCGUUUGACUCUUAAAGAUCAUUUUGUGGAAGAUGAUUCUGGAGAAUACUAUUGUGACAUUUGCGAAGAAGAAAGGAACUCAAAAAAUCAUUGCUAUUAUUGUGAAGAGUGUGCUGGACAAUUUGUUGCUCAUAUCGAGUGCGCGCUUCUUACAGUAAGUUUAUCACUAUCAUUUUCUCUGUAGAAGUUUUUUAUACCAUAUUUUGAAUUUUUAAAGGAAAAUAAAAAUCUAAGUUACACAUCACAUGAUCGUAUCCACCACUUCUUUGAUUGAUUGGACUUUAUUAAUGGUUAAAGUAACUCAUAAGUUCAUAUAUUAUAGAUUUUUCAUUAAUUUAAACUUUUUACCCAAAAGUGGUUAAUUUAGUCUUUAUACUUUCAGAUUUUAUGUAAUGGACUAAGUUUGCUUAGCUUUAUCUAAAGUAACCAUUAGUGGUACUAGUGUUACAUUGACAUGUAAGAUAAAAAAAAGGAAAUUGGCCAUGUGGUAUUUUUUUCUUUCCUUUUUUUUCUUCACUUAUUUGUUCAAAACUACAUUGUUUUAGAGUAUUAUUUAAAAGCACCUUUAGUUUUUAUUUUUCAUUUUCAUUCUUUCCUUCUCUCUAGCUCUUUUCUCUCCCUUUGAAUGCAAAUUCUGGCUGUCAAUCACUAGUGGUAUGAAAAUUUAAUAAAAAAAUAAAAAAUUCAUAUUUUUUUGCCUUAUUUCCCAUAAUAAAAAUAGCUUUUUCAAAAUCUAUUUUGAUUUUCCUAGAUUUAAAAUCAUAAACUUGUAAAAAAUAAACUUGUUUCUUUCCACUGCUAUGUUCUUGACUUGAUGUUAAUGAUCAAUGAUUGUGUUUUUAUGUUGUAGGAUUUUGAAUUUACAGAUGAAAAUUUUCAUGAAUUUUUCAACUUGAAAGAUGUUGACUCACCUAUUGAGAGUUCCUCUACGGAUGAGUUGCUUUCCCAACCCCAUGCUGAAGUUUACUUGAACCAAAACAGAAUGGUAGUUAAGUCUUAUUUAAGUUCAUUUUAAAGAUUUCAUCUUUUAUGCGAAAAUGAAUUUUAUUUUAAGAAUAGUUAAAUGAAAGAAAAGUUUCAAAAUUUUGUGGGUGCCAUUGUUGUUGCAGAAGUACUGGGUGGAUAAGAAAUUAAACAAAUACUGCUUCAUGUUGUUUGCAAGAGAUCUUUCAAUCACUUGGGCAGAAAACCACCGUUACUGGCGUUGGUCAUACCAAAGAGAAACAAACAGGUUAGCAUAGAUUUAUUAUCCAUUUAGAAUCUUUACUUCAUAGAUCUAGCUUGACAACUUUUCUAAUCCACAAACUUUUGAUUUUGCAGCGAUGUGUUGAUUGAUGUUGCCGAACUUCUAGAUGUGUGUUGGCUAGAAAUGAAUGUGAAAUUCAACGUAAAAAAGCUCUCACCGAAAACAUUGUAUGGACUUGUGUUCGUGCUUAUGUUGACAAAAGAAGCACGUGGAUGGGAAACUCCAGUGAACUUCGGAUUCACUCUUCCAAAUGGGUACAAGGUUGAACGCAAGGAAACUUUGAAGUCCAAGCCGAGAGGAGUAUGGAUAGAAAUCCCCGUUGGAGAAUUUACAACUUCAUCUGAAAUUGUUGGAGAAUUUGAUAUUUACUGUCACGAAUAUGCUACAGGGAAUUGGAAGAGAGGACUUAUUGUUAAAGGAGUUACUAUUCUGCCAAAGAAUUAAACAACAAAUUAGUAUUUUCUCACAAUAAAUCUGAAAGUACUGUAGUUUUUCUAUUUGUUCAUAAUCUUGCAAAUUCGAAAAUGACAUGAACCUAAAAGGAACAAACUCAUCCAAUUAUCACUUCAACAACCAGUUCUUUGGUCCUCAUUUUAAUGUAUAGGUUCCAUGCUAAAUGCAACAAACAAGGCCAUUGAUUUUUUUGGUAUUUUUUAUAAGAUUUUAUGACCACUAGUGGCUAGUGGUUGGCUGUUGAAAUCUGGGUUUGGGGAUCAAAGUCUAAAACAGAAUGAUUAGAUAGAGAGCAAGAGAGAGAAGGAAAGAAGGAAAAAUGAAAAAAGAGAAAAAUAAAUGUCCUUUAAAUUGUAGGUUUACAAUGAUUGGUUUUGGACAAAAGAGAGAAAAAAGAAAAAGAUAAGCCAUGUGACCAAUUUCUUCUUUUAGUCUAACAUGUCAACAUUAGCAUUUUUUUUUAUAUCAAUUUAACUUUAGUAUCACUAAUAGUUAAUUUGGAUGGAGUUAGACAAAGAGACUCAAUGGUACAAAUUCUGGGUAUACAAGGACUAAAUUAAUCAGUUUUGGAUAAAUGGACUAAAUUGACAAAAAAAAAUCUUUAAUAUAGGGAUCUAUGAGGUACUUUGACCAUUAAUAAAUUUCAAUCAAUCAAAGAGGUGAUGGCUAUGAUCAUGUAAUGUGUAUGUGUAAUUGAGAUUUUUAUUUUCCUUCAAAAAAAUUCAAUAAUGUGGUAUAAAAGAAAUCUAUAAAGAGAAAAAAUAAUUGUUGUCUCCUCAGCAUUUUUUGAAACCUUUUCAGCACUUUGAAGCUUUGUCCAUUAAUUAAUCAGCUUGUUUUAGGCAUGUUCAUAUAGUAACACAAGUCUUUACGUUGUAUAGAACCUUUUGUUCCUUUUUGAACUCCUAUAAUCUUGCGCAAGUUGUGUAUAUAGGGAGAUACAUGCCUAAGCUGCAGGGAUGGUUUUUGUUCACCUGCUUUUUUGUAUAUUGAUUUUGCUUAAGGUAUAAAGAUAUAGAAUUUUAAAAAAAAGAUACAAAAUUGUGGGAUUAGCAAAUUGAUAGCCACAUUUGGAAUAAAAAAGUAGCAAUUAAAAGAAGCAUUUUAUCUUUAAUGAUGAGUAAGCUGUCUUUAGCUUUUUUCUUUUUUAUAUUCUCUCAAUAAUUUCCUACUUUAAAUAGAGAAAAAAAACCACCGUUGACAGGGCAUGAAACACAUGCCACUUUCUUGUUUUUGGUAUAAAGGCUUGAGGGAAUCUUUGUUUAGGUUUUAUAUUUAAAUACACUCUCUCAUUAAGAGGCUAGUAGUUGAUCAUCUUUCUCUUCAUCUACCUAAAUUUCUUUCUUUGUUUGUUUCAGAAAACAAGAUAGAGAUUGUUCUGCUAUGAGGAUAUUCUGUACUUGUUUUUGACAGAAAUUUAGUACCUCCUUAAGUCCUCAACCGUCUUGGUGUUGCAAAAAGGGGGUUGUAGCUAGAAAUUAACAACAAAAAAUAUGCAAGCAAGGCUGUUGAUGUGAAUGAUUUAGCUUAGUUUGGGUUAUACAAGGCACAACAAUUCUUUGAACGUCAAAUACACUUUCCUAUAUUUAAGCUUUUUCUUCAUAAUGUGUAGGAUUGCAGGGCAUUUUAUUCAACUAUAUUUUGGUUAGAUUGUAGGGAAAAAGACAUAAAGGAGAGAAACAUUUUUAGAUAAUGAUUCAAAAUUUAAUUUCAUUAAUAAGUUAAAAAAUUAUAGCAAAUUGUCAAAAAGGUUCAAAAAAAAUUUUUCUGCUCCUUUUAUUCUCUCUUAGCCAGAAGCGAUGUGCAUUCUCGAACUAGUGAGUUGCAAAUAAGUGGCUGCUUUCCUGCAUAUCUUUGAGUUGAAUGACCAUAUACUUAUUUAUUUCGUAUAUUUCGAUAAAUUUAUGUUAAUAUUCAAGUUUUUAAUAUUUAAAUGAAUUUAUAUUUGAUGCAUUAACAAUGUAUAUAAGAUAUAUGUCAGUAUAUCAAAUAUGAAUCCUAUUUAAAUAGAUUAAGAGUACAUAGUUAAGAAUUACAGGGAGUUUAAUUUGAGAUAGUAGCUUUUUGUAUGAAAGAACAAAAAUAAGAUUUUAUUACUUUUUUUAUUUGUUUUUGUUAAUUUUAUUGUGUCAGCUUGAUUUUAUGUCAAUAGACCUAUUAAUUCAUCAUGGUUAGUAAUCAACUGCUUCAAUAACGAUGCUUCCCAAGUUUAAAAGGGAAAAUAGGAGAUUCCAAACUUAAAACCUUCAUGUCCUUGAUGCUUUUCUUAUUUCUCUGUCCCUUUUUAUUUGUUGUUUUAGUUACAAAAUUGUGGAAGUAGAAUCUUGAUUGUUGCAUUUUCAAUAAAAAGUACCAAUUUACAGAAGCAUUUUAUCUUUAAUGAUGAGUAAGUUUUCUUUGGCCUUUUUCCUUUUUUUGAAAGACAAAGAGAAUAGUAUUUCAUAAAAAAAGGUACAUCUUAAUUAAAUUAUUUGAAGGCAAGAAAUUAAGAUUAGCAUCAGUAUUCACUUCCAAAUUCUCACAAUCAUUUCUUUUUUUAAAUAAAAAAAAAUAAUGUUGUUUUUAUCACCCACUCAAUUAAUUAAUCUGAAAUUGUCGUUGUAUUAGUAAAAUGAAUCGUAAUCACAAUAUAUGCGCGAUGUGUUUUCAUUGGGCAAGUAAUUGUUAUAUAACUAAAGCAAAAAUAAAGUAAUUGCUAUAUAGCAUUAUUUUACUUAGAGGGAAAUAUUUAAUUAAAGAAAAAAAAAGUAAUUCCAAACUUAGAACCUUUAUCCUUUUAAAAACCAAUGAAUAGAGUAAUGUUGAUUCUCUAUAAAGUGAUUUGAUUUCAAAAUGCCAAAGGUCCUUGAUGCUUUUCUUCUUUUUUAAACAAAACACUCCCCUUGCUAAACUAAAGUGAGAAUCAAUUAAGUUUGGUACAACUUAUAGAUACAUUUAUGCCACUAGUAAUACUUUGUUUCAGAAUUAUCUUUUCUUUUUAAAAACAAUAAAGAUGAAUUAUAUAUUAAAAAAGAGUAUUCCUUUACAACUUAACAAAAAAGACCCACGACUACAUCAAAGGCAAGCAAUGGGACUUAAAAAUUUGGGUAGACCAGUACUUGCCUAAGGUCCCGCCAACUAGCAUUAAAAAGAAAAUAUUACAAAAGGUAAGAAAACUCACUCUAUACAUAACAAAAGGACCUCCGAAAAAGUGUUCAAUCAAUAUCCCUUAAAAAAAAGGCAGUAUAAACGAAGAAACAUCAGUGGUUCCAUAAAGGUAGCAGCAAGCAUUAUGAUGCACAACAAAAGUCAAUAAAGCAGGGGACAGAAUACCCCACACUAGGUUAAUGUAUAUUCUUCUCCGAGGUUGGCAGAGAGUCAUUGAUCCAAAACAAAUCUGUUGAUCUUGAGACACCUUCUUUGGCUAGGGUGUCAGCUUCUUCAUUAGCAGACCGAAAAAUGUUUUUAAUCACCAACCCAACGUCCUUGGUCAACUUCUUCCACAUACGUUGUCCAAUAAAAAUCACUCAAGUGUCUCGCAUUGCUUGAAAAGGACAAAAAGACUGCCACGUGCUACCUUAUUGGCAAUUGCUACUAGCGUUCUCCACCGCCCGCUUGGUGUCGCCUGUACAGCCAGAACCACAACCACCACCAUUUGCAAUUCUCCUGAGUCUGAAUUCUUAUCACAUUACUACUGUUGGAAAAGUGUUUGACAAACAACUUUCAGCUAGUAAGUUAGACUCACUAUAACCUUUAUUAUCAAAAAUUUUAUACGCAUCGCUUUUGGAUUACAAAGCAUUACAAGGACGAAUUAUAAAGCAUUUUAAUUCUCAUGGUUUUUUUUUUUUUUUUAAAGAGUGAUUUUGGGUUCAACUUUAAGAAAUUGUCUGCCACUUGUUCAUUGUUACAAAACAGGGUCGGAAGAGAAGCAGCUUCAACAUCAUCCACUUGUUCAGUCAACCAAUAAUUAACUGCUGUUUUCAUUAACCAAUUUACAUUUGAGAAACAACAAAAACAAUGGCAAAAGCACUUCUUUCCAUGAUCCUGGAGCAGCAGUUGGGUGGUUCGUUCAUUCCUCAAGAGAUAAAGCAUCAUGUCGGAUUGGCUGUAGGUCUUGAAGAAGAAAUCCAAAAACUCACCAGCAACUUUGACGCCAUUCAAGCUGUGCUUGAAGAUGCGAAAGGAUAAACCAAACAGGGCUUGCCUAACCCAAGGCGCGGAGGAUAAGGCAUACCGAUGUGGAUGCGGCCCAUAUCCCAAGCUGUUUCCCCACAGACCCUCCAACAGUGUCCCAUAACUCUAGUCCUACAUCCACCACGGAAGAAUUACAAGACUCCCAAGGAGCGGAGGACGGCAAUGGAGGCGGCUGGCUCCGAUUCCGAUGGCAGAGAAUUCAAGAACCCACAGGAAAUGUGGAGGGAGCAAAUUGGAGAUGCAGAUGCAGGAGAUAACCAUAAGAAGACUCAGUGGUACCGUGAAGGCGUUGCCUAUUGGGAAGUAAGUCUUUCUUAACUCUGGUUCUUACAUUUGUAUGUGGGUACCAUUACCGAACUCAUAAUAUAGUUAUUGGUUUCUUUGGUUGUGCUAAGAGAAGGGUGUGGAGGCAUCGGUAGAUGGGGUGUUGGGUGGAUUUGGGCAAGUAAAUGAGGCAGAUGUCAAGGGUAGUGAGGUUUUUCUCAAUACCCUUUUGCAUGAAAGAUUCUCGAUGGCGGUGGAAGAAAUCACCAUCUUGUUGCUCUUGGUACUUCUCUGUCUCUCUCUGUGUGCUCAACUUUAUAUUGUUUUUAUGAAGUUAUAUACCCAUAUAUGUUCUGUUGAGGUAGUUUGGUUUAUGUUAUUAUUAUUUUUUUUUUUUACACUAAAAAUCAACCUUAGGUUAUUAUGCGCCAUUAAAUGUGGAAGUGCAAAGUUGGUGAUGGGAUCCUACUUCAUUAGAAUGUAGCAUUGGUGGAAAACCUAAUUAACUAUAAAUUAAACAAAAAACAUAGUGGUGACAGCAGAAAGGGAUGUUGUGAUAGAUGAAAUUUUGAGUUAAAUAUCCGCAAUUAGUGCUUGAAACCGGAAACCAAGAUAACUUGAUAACACAACCAUGAAGAGUUUAUGUCCCAUAAUCCCACCCCAUAAAAGAAAAUAAAUAAAUAAAGAAGAGGAAAGCAUGGAAAUUUGCAUGAAUAUGCAUUUUCUGAAUUAAUUUGCAUGAUAUCUUCACCAAAAAUCAGUCUUAGUAGUGCAAGAAUUAUGUCAUGCAUUAGAGGUGUUGCUUUGAUUUAGAAUGCCAGCGUUAUAGGUGUUGCUCUUAUUUAGAAUGCCAUAAUGCAAUUGAGAAUUGGGUUUACUACAUGCUAUUUUGCUUAAUAAAAAACCAUCUUUAAGCAAUAUUCUUUUUUAAAUUUGGGAAGAAGCUUGCUGGGAGUUCUCUCUGUCUCUUAAGGGUUGUGUGCUUGUGGGGGGUGGGGGAUGGGGCACCCCUGGACCCAAUUUGAGGCCGUUGUGAGUGCUCAGAAUAAAGGAAAGAAAUUUCUGUGUUUAAGAUUGAAAAAUUACUUUCACAUUUCGUCAGCAGCGAAGAUGCUCUAUCUUGCUAAUAUUCUGGAACUUGUUAUCCUUUGAAUGGCAAAAAUUAGAUAUGUCUUCAGUAUGUUUUAUUACUAGGAGAUUGAUUCUUCGACAUGAGUAGGAUCUAUAAUUGCCUAUAUAUGAAGUUGGUCUUAAUACUUGUGAGUUGGUGGACUAUACUGGGGCAACUGACUGAAAUCUUGCGAAGGGGAAUUGUAGGGGAAAUUAUUUAGGAAACUAAGCAGUUGGAGUUUGGCUUUAAUAUAAAGAUAUUUAGAUAACUAAGCAGUAAUGGUUUGGCUUUAAUAUGAAGAUAAUUAAGUGAUUUCCACAAGUUUUAUUUUAAGUAAUAUGAUAUAAGAUGCACUUAAGCACUUGGCUCUAUGAUAGGUGCAUGUAUCCCCUGCUAAAAGAGCUGGGUUUAAAUUACCAUCACCAAAUAAAAUAAAAUAAAACAUGAUAAUUGAUGGUUGUGCCCUCAAACUUUUGCCUUCAUGUGGUUUAUGUUGGUGGAAUCAAAACAAACUCUUUUGAUGAUCUCAGUGCAGAUGAAUCUGGUACAUUUUAGGGCCUAGCAUACUAAAUUAAACUACGUCAUAAUUCUCAAAACACUGCAUUGCUGACCUUUAUUUUAAGUCCAUACAUUUAAGCAGUAGUAAUACCUGCAAAUGGUUCUAAAGCAUACUUGAAAUAUUGCUGGAGUACUGAUCUGUUUGGUAUUUCAUUUUUCUUGAUGUUUUUAAUUCUAAUUGAAAAUCAUAAAUCUAGUUGACAUUCUGAGCUUUUAGUUUCUAUGUUAAUUUAACAUACUGCAGAUUGUGGUUCUAGCAUAGGGAGAAUAACCAAUAAUCUGUUUGGUCAUUUUUCUCUUUCUAUUAGUUUAUUUUCAAUAUUCCUGACAUUUACCAUCUUUUCAAUUAAUUGAUAACAUGGUUCAUAGUGCAUAAUUUUUACUAGCUAAUGAAUUUCUCUGAUGUUUUUGAAUUGAAAGCAAAAUUGGGCGGUGCCUUUUAAAAAAUUCAAGUAGGACAUGAGGAGGGUAUACGUUAAUUUCGAGGUACCUGAACCCUAAGCUUAUAAAAAAUCAAAUACCCAAACCUUAUUAAUUACUUGAAUAAUUUUAAAAAUUACUACUUUAACCUUAACCCUAAUACAUUUUCACUGUUCUAUAAUUAUCCUAAUCUGUUAGAAAACCCCAAUUAGAUAAAAAAAUUAUUAAAAUGUUCUUCAUGAGUACCCAAUUACUCGAACCCAAACCCAUAUCCAUAUACAAUAAUAUUUAUCCUACAUAUUUCAUAUAAUUAACUACUAAUUAAAUUAAUAAAAACACAAAUAAUAAAAUUUAAAUUUAAAUAAUAAAAAAUUAUAAAGUGUGUUUAUAAAUGAACAUAAUAUAUGAUAUAAAUCAAUAUUAUUUUAUUAUUCAGUAAUUAUUAACUUAUAUAAUAGUAAUUAUAUUCUUUAUAAAUAAACAUAAUAUAUAAUAUAAAGUGUAUGUAUUAAAAGACAUUAAAAGUUAUAUACUCUAAAGUGUGUAUAUAUAUAUAUUAUAAUUAAUAAUUUUAUAAGUUAUAAUUUUUGUAAUGUUAACACAAAAUAAAAUGUAAAUAUAUUUAUAUUUAAAGUANNNNNNNNNNNNNNNNNNNNNNNNNNNNNNNNNNNNNNNNNNNNNNNNNNNNNNNNNNNNNNNNNNNNNNNNNNNNNNNNNNNNNNNNNNNNNNNNNNNNNNNNNNNNNNNNNNNNNNNNNNNNNNNNNNNNNNNNNNNNNNNNNNNNNNNNNNNNNNNNNNNNNNNNNNNNNNNNNNNNNNNNNNNNNNNNNNNNNNNNNNNNNNNNNNNNNNNNNNNNNNNNNNNNNNNNNNNNNNNNNNNNNNNNNNNNNNNNAAACAUAUCUCAGAAGUCAGAAAAACAUCACAGCCCCUUCCUUUUCAGCAUCAAAUAGAAAACAGCCCUGCCCCCUCAUCCAAUAAGUACCCAUUCUGUGCAACUCUGGAAGAAGAGCUCAAAUCAUGUGCUCUCAUUCUGCUUUCGUACUCCUGAAAAUACUCACAUGUACAGCAUAUAUUUGUUAAAUCUACAUUGCAUGGUAUAUGUUGUUGUCACCAGUAGAACAGGGAAGAGGCCAUGAAUCCUGCGGAUAAUUGUAUGGAACGUGCAGCGAAGAGGCCAUGGAACAUUAGUCAAUAUUGCAAUUUUGUAGCGUUUUUUCUGAGAUAACCACUCCACAGACUAGGCUCCAACUCAACAAAAGAAAAAAAAUUGCGGAGUCAUAGAUCUCCCAUGUUGGAAUUUUGAUUAGUGAUUUUCUCUUAACCAAUUCAAAACAUGUUAAUUUCUAUAUUUGUUGACCACAUGAGGCUAGGAAAACUUUCACCAAAACGUUCAAGGAAAAAACAGACCAGAAAUGGAAGUUUACCUACUUGAUUGUUCAGAGUGACUCACCUUCCCCAUCAGAAUCAAUUCUCCACCACCAUGAAUUGUCUCUUCCUCCUUCAGACUUUCACUGAUUUCGCAGUUUGCCCCCCUGCUAAGCUGCUGCACUUCGCACUGCUUCCUUGAUUGGGUUGACUAUCGCCAUGCGGAUUAUUAUUUGGACCCUUCUUUUUAAUGGGCUAAAACAUACCAGCUUAAUUCACAUCGGCCAAACCCAACUACAGGAGAGUGGCUGGUGGAUCUCUCCAUGGACCAAGUUAUCAGCAGAAGCCUGCAGGCCUGAUAGGACAGGCGGCCUGGAUAUGAUUUUCUAGGCUCAGGUUCUACAAGGUUUGACCCAAGAAUACUGUUAUUUUUAUUAAUAAAUACUUUAUUUUAUUAUAUUUUAAUUCUAAAAUAUAUUUUCAAAUACUAAUGUAAAAUUAUUUAAUAUAUAUAAUAAUAAAAUAUAUAUAAACGAGUAUUGGAAUUGGGUUUGGGACGGGUACCCACGUAACCUGAAUAUUAACAUAAUCAGGUUCAGGUAGCGGGUACUCAAGAGAUAGUACCUGAAUCCGAUAUGGGUAGUGAAAUCACUAUUCGAACCCGUCUUAAACCCGAUUAUAGAGUAUCAUAGUAUGAGUUGGAGCUAUGAUCUUAAUAAAGCUGCAUAGUACUUUGUGAUAGCUAUGCUUUCUGACCCCUCUUCCGUUUACCAUUCUCCAGGUUGAUCUACUUGAGCCAGUUUCACAUUUCUUAGAUGCUGCCCGUCAAAGUUUGUCUCAGGAAUAUUUUGUAGCCUCUGAUGCGCACAAAGCAAGUAAUUUCUACUGUGUCCCCCUUCAGGUAAUGUAGUUCAAGACUAUAUUCACACAUAGAUACAUGCUUCUUGAUGUGUUGAAGUAUUCAUAACUAUGGUUAAGUCUAUGUAAGCUAUGUAUUUCCAACUUUUCACUUUACCCUUUAUUGCGGAUGUAGCCAUGUAAUUGACACCUCAAGCAGGCAUGUUGUUUGAGUACAAUCCUGGGAAAAACUUACAAAAUUUAAUGUAAACAUGUUAAAUAUGGGUUUGCACCUGGAACUCGCAUUUGAAUCUGGGCAACAUAGUCUGUAUUCUGUAGGCGGCUUUAGUCAUGAAUCAUUAUAGGUAUAGCCUAGAAGAGUUAAUAUGACUGAUAUUAUGGGGAUGGGAUGGGUGGGAAGGAGAUUGGACAUGUGUAGCUUUAGCUUGCAAUGUGAAACUUAGAUGAUUAGACAACCUUUGGAUUCAAGUAAAUUUUUGCAAACAAUUAUUUACUCUUUUGUGUGUGUUGUGGGGGGGGAAGAGGGGAGCAGCAUAUUGGGUAGUGAAUGAGCUCUCUAAGUUGGUGACAUAUGUACUUGUCUUCUUCUGAUGCUUCUGGCUGCUAAAUUUUACUUUAUAAAACAGAAAUUUGACAACCAUAUUUUUUUGUCUUUUUCUUUUUCAGGAGUUCACCCCUGAUGCUGGAAGGUACAAUGUUAUUUGGAUUCAGUGGUGUAUCGGUCAUCUCACAGAUGAUGACUUUGUCUCAUUUUUUAAGAGAGCAAAGGUGAAUAAAUCUUCUUCUUGAGACAGAACUUACUUUUUAUUUGACAUGUUGUGCUGUGUGGAAGUGCAUGGAAAGAUCAAAAUUAUGUAUUGAAAUUUUCUUGCCUGCUGUCUACUAUACAUUCGAAUUGCCUUGUUCUGAUUUUUGAAUUAUGAACUGUCAGAUCAUUGCAAUGGUAUCUCAAAUUUUCCUUUUCCAAAUUUAUUGCUUCUAGCUUUCUCUCUUGUAACUUCUCUUAAACCUUCUUACAGCUAUAGGAAUUAAGGUUGUCUAGAGAACAUAACAUAGCAAACACCAGAAGGAUGAUAUAGUCAAACUCUUUUUUCUUUUUGUCCUUUCUUUUUUUAUUUUAAUUUUUUUUUUUGCAAUGUGUCGUGUUGUUCAUUCUAUUCUUCUUCCUGCUAGGUAAGUAGCGGAUUUGAUGGGUUGGUUUGGAGUGUUUGGGCCCAUCCCUAGCACCACAGAAACAAGGCUUGAUAAUGCUUUACAAUUCAUACAGCUAUUUUGCUAUCAUCCGUUUUCUCACCUUACAAAAGCUUGUGACCAAAUUUUGUUGUGCCUUGUGCAUUGAAAUAAGUUUUAAGAAAUGAUGGUAGUUUGACUUUUGUCCUUUAAGUUUGUAAAUGGUGGGAAAUAAAAUUAAAUCUAGAAAGUGCCAUAUUCAUUUCAUGGCACCUUGAGUCCCUACUCUCCUGCUUCCCUUGCUGCAACCUUUUUUUUUUUCCAGGUGCUGUUGAGCAUAACUUUUUGCUCUGCCUUCAAUGUAUUUUCAUCAAAAUUAAGCAAAACAUAUUAAUAAUAAAAAGCUCCAACAUGGAAAUUCUUGGGCAUGUGUAUGUGUAUGUAGUUUGGAGGCCUGAUCUCUAAGUUGUGUCCUGGAAAGACCCUUGUUGAAAUUUAUUAUUCUUGCAUAUAUGAUUUAAAAGAUUAUAAUUUGCACUUUAAUUUGAUACAGUAAUUAAUUUGUUGAUUCCAGGUAGGCCUUAAACCUGGUGGAUUCUUUGUCCUGAAAGAGAACAUUGCUAGAAACGGUAUUGUCUUUAUGACUCUUUGAUUUUUCUAAGCAUGUUUGUUUGCCCUCCCUCCCUCUCUCCCUCCCCUUUUUAAGAAGUGCUCAAGUUUUGUUUAAUGCAUUCCUCAAACUUUCUUAUGUUUUGGUAUUCUGUGGUAAAUUUUCAUAAAGUUGUGUUUUUCUUUUUUGAAAUGCCGCAUGUCAUCUCACGUAUGAGAAGGCAUAAAGUUGCUUUUUUGAGCUGAUAUUACUUUCUAACUUUGUCUUAUUAUGUAAUUAUCUGGCCCCUCUACAACUUUGAAGUAACAUCAUAGUUAAUAAUAAUUAAAAGAUAAAUGGAUAAAGGAAAUUUUAAGCUCCAUUUUCUCGUUCCAUUGCUUGAUACCAAGGGAAGCAGCAAGUUUUUGUUUUAUGCAUUCCUCAAACUUUCUUAUUUUUUGGUGUCCUGCUGUAAAAUUUUCAUAAAGUUGCUUUCUAGAGCUGAUAUUACUGUUUAAAUUUGUUUUAUUAUGUAUUCAUCUGCCCGCUACUGCUUUGACUUAUUCUAGUUAAUGUUUUAAAUGUUGAAUUAAGGAUAAACGGAUAAAGGAAUAUUUAAGCUCCAUUGUCUUGUUUCAUUGCAUGAUACCAAGGGAAACAGCAAAAAAGUGUUGAAACUUAUAAUUCGCAGGUUCAGGGAUGAGUCUCAUCUGCUCAAAUGGGUAUGGGGUAUAAUUUUACUAUGCUACCAAUUUGGGACACCUUUUGGUAACACUGUCUAUGUACAACUUUCUUCAGUGAAAAUUCAUGAAGGAAAGAUGACCUAGUGAUGUAGUGAGGAAGUAGAAACAAUAACAAGAAACCAAAACAGUGAACAAAACCAGAACAAAGGUUAAAAUUGAUGUAAAAUCAAAGUCGGAACAAGUUACAAGCCAUUAGGACCAAUUGUCGAGCAUCUUAAGGUUAAAUAAACAAGUCACUCCCAUCUGUAAUAGAUUGAUUCAAACCAGCUAGAUAACAAGAAGUCAACUGCUCAUUAGUCUCUUUGAAACCAACACUAGGGAAAGGUUGUUGAAACCUGAAGUGUACUCCUCAAUGGACAUACUAUUUUGCUUGAGUGAAUGAAAUAUCUCAUUCAACUCCAUUUAAUCAGCUGGCAGAAAUUUCCUCAUCUUCAUUUUCAUGUGUUCCCAAGUGUUGAUUUUUGGCUUGCCUUGAUGUGCUUGCCGCUCUUCAACGCUCUUCCACCAUUGAAGUGCAGUCCCUUCAACUUAAGCUUCACAAACAGCACCUUUCUUUGUUCUACCAUUGGUUUCUACUAAAAAUAAUUUUACAAACUCGCUUUCUGGUCUAAAUAAUCUUUUGCAUGCAUCUUUUUCCGGAAGUCAUCUACCUUAAUUCUAACUCCACCACCAUUUAAGUCUAGGCAUGUAACAAUCAGCCUUCCAAUCUACCACAAACAGCAUUAUUUGCUGCUCGAGCAUUAUGAAAAGGGUUUUCAGCCUCUCCAUAUUCAAUUUCAUCCUCAAGACCACCUUCCGGUAAACCGAAAGGGUCAGGAUUGCCUUGCGGAUUCUCCAUUCGGGCUCCCAUUGGUUCCUGUCACUUUAAAGCUUGCUCAGCCUGCAACAAAUCUUCAAUCAUACCCUUAAACUCAGCCGAUUCUGUUUGCUGGUCUUGAUUUCUUUUCCACGUCCACUAACAAGUCCUCUAACACGAUUAGCCAUGGUUUAUAAGCUAAAAUCCUAGUUCAACUUUAAGAUCUGUUCAUCUGAUACCUCUUUGAUGUAGCAUGGAAGUAGAAACAACAAAAACAAAAGAAAAACAAUGAAGAAAACCAGAACAAAGGCUAAAAUUGAUCUUAAGAUCAAAGUAGGAACAAGUUACAGCAGCUUUUAAUUGUAGCCCUUCGAUACAAACAAGCCCAUCUAAUCCUAGCCAUUCAAACUAAUUAAAAAUGAUCACAUGCUGAUCACGACACAUGACUAGAUAGAAAACAUAAUUACAAACUUUUAACUAAAGUAAAACAUAAUAAGAUAACCAAUUGGAGAUAAAUUUAAGAAUGCUCUUGCAUAACCUAGCCCAACAAUUAAACUUGCCUAAGGCUUGACUUAAACUAGGACUCAAGUCUCAUAAUUUGCUUGCAUUCAACUCACAAAAUGCUUGGAUUCAAUCAGUUUAUUGUUGAGUUAUUCUUGAGCUCAAGUGACCAAUCGAGUCUAGUUCAAGUGUUUAUAUUACUCAGUCAAGAUGGUUCAAGAGCGUAAUCAACUUUUAAUUUUUUAAUAUAUUUUAAUAUUCCAUGUAUGUAAUACUCGUAUAACACUGAAAAAUAUAAAGCUCUAUCAAGUCCAGCUUGGAGGUCUCAGACAUAUGUACCCUCCAAAAAAUUGUUCAAGUUGAGCUUCAGGUCUUAGUUUUGUAAUUGAGUCGUGUCAAGUUCAAGGUUGUCAUUUUGUCAACUUGAUUUGGCUCAGUUAUGCACCUAGACUUUAACCAGCUCAAACUGACUAAAAGGUUACUGAAUUGAAAGUUGAGACAGGGACAAUUCAAACACAAAGUAAUCUGGAAUUCCAAAAAUCCAAACUUAACACCUAAAAACCUUUAAAUGACAAGUGGGUAGUUAUACCCCUUUCGCAGUAAUUGCAUAAAUUCACUUAACUUGGCUUGCAUGUGGAGAACUUGUCAGUGGAAUUGUUCAGUGGCAAAAUGAGUUUCACUGAGCUAUCACUUGUUUGCAGGAUUUGUCUUGGAUAAAGAAGAUUGAAGCAUCACCAGAUCUGACUUAUACUUCAAGGCCCUAUUUCGUCGAUGUGGAUUGCACCUGUAUAAAAUAAAGGUACCUUCUAUUGCAUAUUGACCACUUAAUAAGCUGUUGAUAACGCUUUUUUAAACUGAAUAUUCUGUUAGUUUACUCGUAAAUGCUUUUGACAGUUGUUGUUUCAUGAGGCCUAAUCCUAACUAUAUUUUGACUUUGAAAGAAUAUACAAUACAUAAAGCUACACAGGUCUGCUGUGGUAUCUUAAAUGGUGCUCAAAGUUCUUAAUCAGCCCCAACUUCCAUUGUUUUGAUUCUGAAAAGCAAAACCCCCCUCACUGGCUAAAAUAAAGUGGGAAUCAAUUCAGUAUGGUACAAUUUAUAGAUAUGGUACAUUUAUGGCACCGAUGAUACUUUGCUGCAGAGUUACCUAUAUCAUGUAUUCUUUUAUCUUCCCUAUUAUCAAUCACUUUUACAGAGAAAUUAUGGUCUUGAAGUCAAAACUGGAUACUUUAAUAAUUAAAGUUAUAAUCAACCUCAAAAUUGUGUGCUGGGUUAUGGCGGUAAAGGGGUCAACUUGAUGUAAGUUACGCAACUUGGACUCACACCAUAAAACUCAACCAAAUUCCAACAAAGAUUAGUUGCCAACCCAUCCAGUUGUGUCUGUUACACAUAACCUUUGACUUGCAACAUAACAAUCCCAAGAUGACACAUUGAAAACUGAUAAGUUUAUAUAGAUCAUGCACUAAUAGCCUCAUAUGUUGCCAUUGUCUUAACAACUAAGUCUCUAAGCCAACAUUCAAAAAUUUAGAUCUUGAAACGUUAAAAUACAAGGUCUAGCUAAAAAUCCAAUGAUAGGUGCGGGCUUUAUAGGAUGAGAGAGGGCUUCUCCUAUUGUGAAGCCCUCGUUCCAUUGACUUUCAGAUGUGCCCCAAGAGCAUAACAUUAGUGAGAGGCGUUGUGUGAUCUAUGUUGUUUGGUAAGUUUUAGAUAUCAUAUCAUCUUUUGUAUCCUUAUAUUCUUAUUUGAUGUUGCUGAGUUGAAUCGAUAAGGGUGUGAUUUCUAGUUGCAUGUUCAAAGUUUCCAUUAGAAAUAGGGGCAGGUUUGGUUUGCAAUCCCCCUACUUCAUUUUAGGGUUUUCAACUAUCAUAAUGUAUCCUUCCUUUUGUUAUUUAUUUGUUUGUUGUUUUGAAAACAGGACCAGAAAGGACUCCCUGAGGAAUUGUUUGCUGUAAAGAUGUAUGCUUUAACAACUGAAGGGCCAAAGAAGGUUCUCAAGACAAGAUCCAAGGCGCAAGCCAACAGACCUGACAUCAUCAAAUGAUUUGUUGCCUCUACCUUGUUGCAUUGUUGUAGGAGUACUCAAACUUUCUGGUGUAGGAUGUGAUUGUAUCUUCUUCCUAUGUAAUUUGUUAGCGUAUUACCUCAAAUUGUUUUUACUUUACAAGCUCCUUGUGGACUAGUUUUGUUCUUUUUCGUUUGAAGCUGUAUAUUUAUCCCCGGCAUACCUUUGAAGCUGUAUAUGUUCCUAAAUUCAAUUAUUGCUUCCAUAUUUUAAUUUUAUCUUUAAUUUUUUUUUUUUACCUUUCAAACAAAAAUGAAGAGUAAAUUUUACUAUUCCUUUUUACCAAUUCUUUAAUCCUUAGUCUAAUGAUACUUUAGAUGGAUACUUUUGCUCCUAUUCGCAAGACCAGCCCUCACCCUUUUUGUAGUGUUAUUUUCCAAACGGUGCCGUUUGGCACUUUGCUCCUUACAACCCUAACUAUAAAUUCCUCCUUUUCUCUCUCUCUCUCCUUCAUUUUUCCCCUUACUUUCUCUCUCUACCGCCGGCGGCUCUCUCUCAUUUCUCUCUGAACCUUCAGCUCACUUUCUUCUCUCUUUCUCUUUCGCUUGGAAGUAAUGAGAAUCUCCCAAUCCCAAAAGAGGAAAUCAACUUUCUCUCCCGCACACUGCCAGAACCUUCCUUUCGCUCUCACAAAUCAGUCCCCAACCGAACCCAUUUCCUAGAUCUACGUCUUUGUAAACAUUGGAUUUUUGUUUUGAUGCUUUUUGCUUUUCUUUUUUUUUGCCUUUUGCCAUUUUGGUUGUGGUAUCCGGCUGCUAGAUUAAAAAGUUAGAAGUUUUUGGCUUCUAGGUGUUUGCUCUUUUCUGGAGAUUUUUGUUGAAAGAGCCCCUCCUUUUGUGAAGAUUUCUGCUUUUAUAUAUAUAGGGGCCGAAAAUUCUCUCCUUAGUACUCGGUUAGCCAUUGAUUUAUCCUAAUUUUUAUUGAAUAAAAAUGAAAAUGAAAAAUAGAAUAAUAAGGUAAUAAAAAUAGUAAUAAAAGUACAUAAAAAAAUAGUAUCUACAGCUUGAGGGAAUCUAUGUUUAGUUUUUUAAUAUGUAAACACCCUUUUCCAUGGAAAGGUUAAAUUUUUUUUUCUUUGUUUGAGAUGGAUAUCAAACCCUUUCUUCAUGAACACCACUUGCUCUUUGAUGACUACAUUGAAUCAGAGGCACCUUGUAAUAUAUGCAAUCAGAAAAUUGAUGGUUUGGCUUAUUAUUGUGAAAGAUGCAAGAUUUGGUUUCAUAAUCCCUGCGUUCAUCAUCAGCUACCUCUGCAGAUAAGUGCACAUCCUUUCCAUUCUCAACACAAUCUUAGUCUCUUAUGGUCAAAUCACAUAGAUUACAUAUGUGCUAAAUGUUUCAAUCUUUCUCGAGGUCAUAGGUACCAUUGCAAAGAUUGUGAUUUUAGCCUUGAGUUUCAAUGUGCUUUUUCAAUCAAUGAUGAGAAAAAUAGACUCAGUGACGAGACAUCCAAAAAAAUUGGUCGUUUCAACAAGUCGUUGACCCUCUUUAACUAUAGGAGAGUGAGAAAGUAUGAGUAUAUAUGUAGUUGGUGUGAGAAUCAUUUGUCUGGAAUGUCUUAUGGUUGUCUUGACGAUGGAGUUUAUAUCUGGUUCCACGAUUCGUGCCUAAUCAACAUGCCUAGCAUAAUCUUCAAACACCCUUUUCAUCCAUCACACCCUCUUUCAUUAUGCAACAUUCAUUUCGAUAAUAGAUUGUGCAAUGCUUGUAACCUACCAAUAUGGGAGUUCAGAAAAGCCUUUUGCUGUAGAAAAUGUAAAUUCCACCUUCAUGUUCAUUGUGCUGAACUACGACCCAGUCUGAAGGUUGAGUUACAUGAGCAUAAUCUUACUUAUUUUCGAAUAAAAGCUAAUAUCUCUACCCACCUAUGUAGGAUUUGUGGUUUUAAUUUUGAUGCUAUAGGGAACGAAAGUGCUUUUUAUCGUUGUGUUGAGUGUAAUUUCAAUUACCAUUUCAAAUGUCUUACAAUACCACAUUCUACUUCACACAAGUAUCAUAGGCAUGAUCUCAUGCUUAUGGAUUCAUUUAUAGAAGAUGUUUCUGAAGAAUAUUAUUGUGAUAUAUGUGAAGAAAAAAGAAAACCCAAGCAUAGUGUUUAUUGUUGCAAGAAAUGCAAAUUUGUUGCUCACAUCGAAUGUGUACUCAAUAAGGUAAAGAGAAAUUUACUCUCUCUCUAAACAAAUUUAAUAAAUGAUUUUUUUAUUAGAUAAUCUAUUAAUUAUUUGAUCAUAGGUCACAUAUACUGUGCCAUUUAGAAAAAUUUUGAUGUUAAAUAGUUUCACUUCCCCAGGUUAUAGAUAUAAAACUUGAUCAAAGUGUGACCUCUAGUUUGUUGGAUGGCGAAGCUUCAACAUUGAAGGUGGUGUAUGUUGAUAUUAUUGUGAUGCUUUCACUUGCCAAUAAUUUUUUUUUGAAGGUUACAUCACUUUAGGUCUUUUAUAAUUCCUUGGAUUUAUAUAUUAUAAAGAUUUUUUAGUAAUAAACACUAUUUACGUUUUUGAAUAAAAUUUAAUGAAAAAAAAACUAAAAAAUGUAAAUAACAUAGGUAAGAAACCUCUACUUAUAUAGCAGUAUUCAAAAUCAAUUUGAAGAAGGCUUUAGUAAAAAUAUUGAAUGUUGAAUAAAAUAAAAACAUAUACGUGCAUCAUGUUAAUUUAUGAACAUAUAUAUUUGAUUAUUUAAUUAUUACUUCCAUAUUUUAGUUUUAUUUUAAAUUUUCAUUUUUUUUACUUUUCAAACAAAAAUAAAGAGUAAAUUUUACUAUUAAUUUUGACCUAUUUGUAAUUUUUCGUUUUCAUUUGCCAUUUUGAAUUUGUUUCAAAUCCAUCUGUAUAUUAACAUGCCAAUAAAAUGGAAGUGAAAUUUGUCACGUAAAUUCCACAUAUUAUGUGAAUUAUGUGAAAGUAGUCACAUGGACAUAACUGUAGUGUUUAGAUGGCAAAUUCGUUCCAUAUUUAAUAGUGUAUUGAUGGAUAGAUGAAUUUAAAAUAAAUUCCAAAAGAUGUAGAUGAAAAAAAUCGAGUUUGUUUAGUCAUAAAUGAAAAUAAAAUAUUAUGACAAUUUACAAAUUAAGGAUGCACUCUGCUUAACAAAUGGUGGAAGAUUAGUAACUUUCUUCACUCAACCUGGUUGUGCAGCCGCAGAUUGAACAUUUUGAUCAUCAACAUCCCUUGAGCUAUAAUGGGGCAAUUGAACGGAAUGAAAGUCUUCUCUGCAAUGCUUGCUGUCAAGAAAUUUUUGAUCAACACUAUGCUUGUGGAGAUUGUAAAUACUACUUACAUGAAACGUGCACUGCAUUGCCGUUUGAGGUGUCACACCCUUUUCAUUGCCAGCAUCCUCUCAAGCUCUUCACAGAUAUAGUUGAAUUUACAUGUCAUGCAUGUAGGGAACAUUCUAGUGGGUUUGCUUACAUGUGCCUUCCAUGUGAUUUCCAACUUGAUGUAAACUGUGCUACCACUCCAAUCCCACAAAAAAAUGAGGGGCAAAAGCUGAAAGAGAUGGAGAAAGUUUCCAAGUUGUGCCCUUUCAAUCAAAAUCAUAAGCUAGAUUUCUUCAAUCGUAGAUCCAGUCUCAAAGAUUUGGCUUUGGAAUGCGAUGCUUGCAAGCUACCAAUCUUGGGUCCAGGUUAUACAUGUCGUGAUUGUUUCAAUAUCAAAAUUCAUGAAUCUUGUCUUGCAUUUAUGCGGGAGAUGCAGCUCAACUUUCAUCCAUUACACCCCCUUCAUCCACAAAUCGGCGAUUGGGAAAAUUGUUUUGCCUGUAGAUUUAAAAUCAUUGAAAGUAUCGGUUAUAGUUGUCGACAGUGUGAUUUCCACCUUCAUCUUCAUUGUGCUAAUUCCCUGAAGCUGGCCUUAAAAAUUAAGUCUCACAUGCAUAAUCUCUAUUAUUUUGGGCCAGAUUAUGAGAAAUCUUACCAAUUAUGUAACAAAUGCAAAAGUUACAUUGGUAAGGAACCUUUCUAUUAUUGCGUGGAGUGCAAUAUGAAUUUGCACUUAAAAUGUGUUCCCAUACCAUGUUCAGUUAAAUCCAAAUAUCACAUGCAUCGUUUGACUCUUAAAAAUCAUUUUGUGGAAGAUGAUUCUGGAGAAUACUAUUGCGACAUUUGCGAAGAAGAAAGGAACUCAAAAAAUCAUUGCUAUUAUUGUGAAGAGUGUGUUGGACAAUUUGUUGCUCACAUCGAAUGCGUGCUUCUUACAGUAAGUUUAUCACUAUCAUUUUCUUUGUAGAAUUUUUUUAUACCAUGUUAUUGAAUUUUUUAAAGGAAAAUAAGAAUCUAAAUUACACAUCACAUGAUUGUAUCCACCACCUCUUUGAUUAAUUGGACUUUAUUAAUGGUUAAAGUACCUCAUAGGUCCAUAUACUAUAGAUUUUUCGUUAAUUUAAUCUCUUUACUCAAAACUGGUUAAUUUAUUCUCUAUAUUUUGAGAUAUUAUGUAAUUGACUCAUUUUGCUUAACUCCAUUCAAAUUAACCAUUAGUGGUGCUGGUGUCGCAUUGACAUGCAAGAUAAAAGAAAAAAAAAGAAAUUGGCCAUGUGGCAUUUGUUUCUUUCCUCAUUUGUUCAAAACUACAUUGUUUUAGAGUACCAUUUAAAGCACAUUUAGGUUUUAUUUUUCAUUUUCCUUCUUUCCUUCUUUCUAGCUCUCUUAUCUCUCUAGAUUCCGACACCUAAAUGAAAAUUUUGGCUAUCGUUCAUUAAUGGUAUGAAAAUCUAAUAAAAAAUAAAAAAAUUCAUUUUUUUUGGCCUUAUUUCCCAAAAUUAGGAUAGCUUUUUCAAAAUCUAUCUUGAUUUUCCUAGAUCUAAAAUAAUGAAACUGUAAAAAAGAAAUUUGUUUCUUUCCACUAAUGUGUCCUCAACUUGAUGUUAAUGAUCAAGGGUUGUGUUUUUCAUGUUGUAGGAUUUUGAAUUUGCAGAUGGAAAUUUUCAUGAAUUUUCCAACUUGAAAGAUGCUGACUCACCUAUUGAGAGUUCCUCUAUGGAUAAGUUGCUUUCCCAGCCCCAUGCUGAAGUUUACUUGAAUCAAAACAGAAUGGUAGUUAAGUCCUAUAUAAGUUUAUUUUAAAGAUCUCAUCUUAAUGCGAAAAUGAAUUUUAUUUUAUGAAUAGUUGAAUGGAAGAAAAGUUUCACGAUUUUGUGGGUGCCAUUGUUGUUGCAGAAGUACUGGGUGGAUAAGAAGUUAAGCAAAUACUGCUUCAUGUUGUUUGCAAGAGAUCUUUCAAUCUGUUGGGCGGAAAACCACCUUUACUGGCGCUGGUCAUACCAAAGAGAAACAAACAGGUUAGCAUAGAUUUAUUAUUCAUUUAGAAUCCUUCAUAGUUCUAGCUCGAGAGCUUUCCUAAUCCAUAAACUUUUGAUUUUGCAGUGAUGUGUUGAUUGAUGUUGUCGAACUUCUAGAUGUGUGGUGGCUAGAAAUGCAUGUGAAAUUCAAUGUAAAAAAACUCUCACCAAAAACAUUGUAUGGACUUGUGUUCGUGCUUAUGUUGGCAAAAGAAGCAUGUGGAUGGGAACACCCAGUGAACGUCGGAUUCACUCUUCCAAAUGGGUACAAGGUUGAAUGCAAGGAAAUUUUGAUGACCAAGCCAACAGGAGUGUGGAUAGAAAUCCCUGUCGGAGAAUUUACAACUUCAUUUGAAAUUGCUGGAGAAUUAGAUAUUUACUGUCACCAAUAUGAUGAAUUGAUAAGGAAGAGAGGACUUAUUGUUAAAGGAGUUGCUAUUCUACCAAAGAAUUAAGUUAUAAGUUAGUAUUUUGUCAUAGUAAAUAUGAAAGUAUUAUAGUUUUUUUAUUUGUUCAUAAUCCUGCAAAUACCAAAAUGACCUUAACACUGGAACCAGUUUUUCGGUUCUCAUUAUACAAUAUAGGUUCCAUGCUAAAUGCAGCAAACAAGCCCGUUGAUUGGGUUUUUUGUAUUUUUUAUUAGAUUUUUGGACCACUACUGAUCAGCGGUCAGUGAUCGAAAUCUGGGUUUGGCGAUCAAAAUUUGGGAUGGAAGGAUUGGAUAGAAAGUGAGAGAGAGAAGAGUGUUAGAGAGAGAAGGAAGGAAAAUGAAAAAAAAAAAAACUAAAUGUGCUUUAAAUAGUAAGCUUAAAACGACGUAGUUUGAGACAAAAAAGAGAAGAGAGAAAAAUAAAAGCGACAUGAUCAAUUUUUUUUAUUAGUUUAACACGCCACUUCUACGUUAGCACUUUUUGAUAUGUCAGUGCGACGUUAAUACCACUAAUGGUUAAUUUGAAUGGAGUUGAGCAAAGAGAUUCAAUGGUACAAAAUAUGAGAGUACAAGGACUAAAUUAACUAGUUUUGGAUAGUUGGACUAAAUUGACAAAAAAAUCUUUAGUAUAAGGACCUAUGAGGUACUUUGACCAUUAAUAAAUUCUAAUCAACAAAAGAUGUGGUGGAUUUGAUCAUGUGAUGUGUAUGUGUAAUUUAGAUUCUUAUUUUCUUUUAAAGAAAUUCAAUAAUGUGGUAUAAAAAAUUUCUACAAAGAUAGAAAAAUAUUGUUAGCACCUCAACAUUUUUUAAAACCUUUUCAGCACUUUAAAGCUUUGUCCAUUAAUUAAUCAGCUUGUUUUAGGCAUGUUCUCAUAGUAACACAAGUCUUUACGCUGUAUAGAACCUUUUGUUUCUUUUUAACCUCCUGCAAUCUUGAGCAAGGCUGGUUGUGUAUACAGGGGAGCAUAGUGGUAUAUCCCAGCACAGUUGUGUAUAUAGGGAGAUGUAUGCCUAAGCUGUAGGGAUGGUUUUUGUUCACCUACUCUUUUGUAUAUUGAUUUUGCUUAAAGUAUAAAGGUAUAGAAUUUUUAAAAAAAGAUACAAAAUUGUGGCUUAGCAUCUUGAUAGCCACAUUUGGAAUAAAAAGGUAGCAAUUAAAAAAAGUAUUUUAUCUUUAAUGAUGAGUAAGCUUUCUUUGGCCUUUUUCAUUUUAUAUUCUCUCAAUAAUUUCCUUCUUUAAAUAGAGAAAAAAAAUGUUGACAGGGCAUGAAGCACAUGCUAUUUUCUUGUUUUUGGUAUAAAGGCUUGAGGGAAUCUUUGUUUAGGUUUUACAUUUAAACGCCCUCUCUCAUCAAGAGGCUAGUAGUUGAUCAUCUCUCUCUCUCUCUUCAUCUACCUAAAUUUAUUUCUUCGUUUGUUUGAGAAAACAAGGCAGAGAUUGUUCUGCUAUGGGCAUAUUCUAUACUUGUUUUUGACAGAAAUUUAGUACCUCCUCAAGUCCUUAACCAUCUUGGUGCUGCAAAGAGGGGGUUGUAGCUAGAAAUUAACAACAUAAAAGAUGAAAGCAAGGUUGUUGAUGUGAAUGAUUUAGCUUGGUUUGGGUUAUACAAGGCGCAACAAUUCUUUGAACGUCAAAUACACUUUCCUAUAUUUAAGCUUAUUCUUCAUAAUGUGUAGCACUGCAGGGCAUUUUAUUCAACUAUAUUUUGGUUAGAUUGUAGGGGAAAGAAAGGUAGAGAAAAAGACACAAAGGCGAGAAACAUUUUUAGACAAUGAUUCAAAAUUUAAUUUCAUUAAUAAGUUAAAAAAUUACAGCAAACUGUAAAAAAGAUCAAAAAUUUUUUUGUCUGCUCCUUUUAUUCUCUAUUGGCCAGAAGAGAUGUGCAUUCUUGAACUAGUGAUUUGCAAAUAAGUGACUGCUUUUCCUACAUACCUUUGAGUUGAAUGACCAUGUACUUAUCCAUUCUGUAUAUUUCAACAAAUUUAUGUUAAUAUUCAAGUUUCUAAUAUUUGAAUGAGUUUAUAUUUGAUGCAUUAACAGUGUCUAUAAGAUACAUUGUCAGUGUAUUAAAUAUAAAUCUUAUUUAAAUAAAUUAAGAGUACAUAGUUAAGAAUUACAGGGAGUUUAAUUUGAGAUAGUAGCUUUUUGUAUGUAAGAAGAAAAAGAAGAUUUUGCUGCUUUUUAUUAUUUGUUUUUGUUAAUUUUAUUGUGUCAGCUUGGUUUUAUGUCAACAGCCCUAUCAAUUCAUCAUGGUUAGUGAUCAACAGCUUCAAUAACGAUGCUUCCCAAGUUUAAAAGGGAAAAUAGGAGAUUCCAAACUUAAAACCUUCAUGUCCUUGAGGCUUUUCUUGUUUCUCUGUCCUUUUCUAUUUGCUGUUUUAGUUGCAAAAUUGUGGAAGUAGCAUCUUGAUUGCCACAUUUUUCAUAAAAAAGUACCAAUUUAAAGAAACAUUUUAUCUUUAAUGAUAAGUAAGUUUUCUUUGACCUUUUUCUUUUUCUCAAAAGACAAAGAGAAUAGUAUUCCAUAAAAAAGGAUAUGUGUUAAUUAAAUUAUUUGAAGGCAAGAAAUUAAGAUUAGUAUCAGUAUUCGUUUCCAAAUUCUCACAAUUAUUUCGUUCUUUAAAUAAAGAAAAAAAUAAUAUUAUUUUUGAUCACUCACUUGAUUAAUUAAUUUGAAUUGUCAUUGCAUUAGUACAAUGAAUCGUAAUCACAAUAUACGCGCGACUUGUUUUCAUUGUGCAAGUAAUUAUUGUAUAACUAAAGCAAAAAGAAAGUAAUUGCUAUAUAACAUUAUUUUACCUAAAGGGAAAUAUUUAAUUAAAGAAAAAAUAAGUAAUCCCAAACUUAAAACCUUUAUCCUCUUAAAAACCAAUUAAUAGAGUAAUGCUGAUUCUCUAUAAAGUGAUUUGAUUUCAAAAUGCCAAAGGUCCUUGAUGCUUUUCUUCUUGUUUAAACGAAACACUCCCCUUGCUAAACUAAAGUGAGAAUCAAUUAAGUAUGGUACAACUUAUAGAUACAUUUAUGCCACCAGUAAUACUUUGUUUCAGAAUUAUCUUUCCUUUUUAGAAACAAUAAAGAUGAAUUAUAUAUUAAAAAAGAGAAGGAUAAGAGUAUUCCUUUACAACCAGUCAAAAAAAAACCCACGACUACAUCAAAAACAGCCAAUGGGGCUUAAAAAUUUGGGUAGACCAGUACUUACCUUAGGUCCUGCCAAGUAGUAUUAAAAAGAAAAUAUUACAAAAGGUAAGAAAACCAUAACAAAAGGACCUGUACAUAAUCUUUUCCUAGAAGAAGGAUCCAAAAAAGGGUUCAAUCAAUAUCCCUUAAAAAAAAAGCAGUAUAAACGAAGAAACAUCAAUGGUUCCCAUGAAGUUAGCAGCGAGCAUUGUGAUGCACAACAAAAGUAAAUAAAGCAGGGGACAGAACACGUCACACUAGGUUAAUAUUCUUCUCCGGGGCUGGCAUGGAGUCGUUGAUCCGAAGCAAAUCUGUUGAUCUUGAGACACCUUCUUUGGCUAGCUUGUCAACUUCUUCAUUAGCAGAACCAAAAAUGUGUUUCAUCUCCCAUCUUCCAAUCUUACGAAGAGUAUUAAAUGUUUGAAUUAUCAGAGUCUUCGCUCUCCAUAUCUUCUUUUUGUCUUUCUUAAUAUUAAUCACUUUUACAAAGAAUUUAAUUUUAAUUUUACAUUUGAAUUGUUGCGCUAGGGUAUGGCCGUAGAGGGGUCAACUUGAUGUAAGUUAAGCAACUUGGAUUUACAGCAUAGAACUCAACUAAAUUCCAACAAAGAUUAGUUCCUAGCCCGUACAGAAAAUUUGUAUAUGUUACUUGACUGAUUUACAUUGAAGAAGUAAAUUUGCAUAUCACCCACAUUAUAAACUAAUCAAUUACUGAAAAUAAGAAAUUACCACUAGUGCUUGCUAAAUCUCAUAAAUAAAUCAUCUUAAUAAGCAAUAACUAUGUAUGGGAGGGCUAAUUAUUGUAGUUAACAUUCCUUGAAUUUUACCUCAAAAUUUGUGUUAAUAUUCUAGGUUGUGAUCAAGUCAAAUAUUCAAGUUUCUAACAUUUAAAUAGAUUAGGAGUACUUCAUGAAUGAAGGGGUUUAAUUUGAAGUAAUAGCUUCAAGUAUAGAAGAAAAAAAACAAAGAUUAUGCUGCUUAUUUUUUUUUAUAUUUUCUUGUCUUAGGUUGAUUUUAUGUCAACACUCCUAUCCACUAUUCGGUAAUUUUGGACGUGUGUAUUUCUGUAGCAAUGUUUAUGAAAUGGUUUGGACAGCAUUGAUAGCUGUGGAUCAUGAGACAUAUAUACACUUUGGACAGCUAUUUAUUGAGACGUGCUGGAAGGUGAUUUAAUUAUUUCUGUUGAUUGGGUUAUGUUUUCAGAGAUUGGGCGGAUUUGUUAAAGAGUCCAACUGGACCUAUUUAUCCCCAAAGUUGAGUUUAAUUUUGGCAUUUGGCAUGUGGCAUUGCCAAAGCUCCUCAAGGAAGAGCACUAUGCGAUGAGUGAAGGCCAAAUAAAUAAGAAGAAAAAAGAAAGAAAGAUAGUACACAUCUUGUCAUCACUCAUCAAUUAGACAUUCCAUCCCUCACCAACCCAACGUCCUUGGACAACUUCUUCCACAUAUGUUGUCCAAUAAAAAUCACUCCAGUGUCUCGCAUUGCUUGAAAAGAAAAAAAAAGACUCCCACGUCCUACCGUAUUGGCGAUUGCUACUAUCGUUCUCCACCGCCCGCUUGGUGGCGCCUAUACAGCCACCACCACCACCACCACCAUUUGCAAUUCUCCUGAUUCAGAAUUCUUAUUGCAUUACUACUGUUGGAAAAGUGUUUGAUAAACAACUUUCAGCUGGUAAGUUAGCUUCACUAUAACCUUUAUUAUCAAAAAUUUUUUACGCAUUGCCUUUGGAUUACAAAGCAUCCUGGUCAAAUUGUUUCCGUAGUGACGUAGAAGUUGUCAUUCAAGAAAAAUUACAAGGACGAAUUAUAAAGCAUUUUAAUUCUCAUGGUUUUUUUCUUUAAAGAUUGAUUUUGGGUUCAACUUUAAGAAAUUGUCUUCCACUUGUUCAUUGUUAAAAAACAGGGUCGGAAGAGAAGCAGCUUCAACAUCAUCCACUUGUUCAGUCAACCAAUAAUUAACUGCUGUUUUCAUUAAUCAAUUUACAUUCGAGAAACAACAAAAACAAUGGCAAAAGCACUUCUUUCCAUGAUCCUGGAGCAGCAGUUGGGUGGUUCGUUCAUUCCUCAAGGGAUAAAGCAUCAUGUCGGAUUGGCUGUAGGUCUUGAAGAAGAAAUCCAAAAACUCACCAGCAACUUUGAGGCCAUUAAAGCUGCGCUUGAAGAUGCGAAAGGAUAAACCAAACAGGGCUUGCCUAACCCAAGGCGCGGAGGAUAAGGCAUACCGAUGUGGAUGCGGCCCAUAUCCCAAGCUGUUUCCCCACAGACCCUCCAACAGUGUCCCAUAACUCUAAUCCUACAUCCACCACGGAAGAAUUACAAGACUCCCAAGGAGCGGAGGACGGCAAUGGAGGCAGCUGGCUCCGAUUCCGAUGGCAGAGAAUUCAAGAACCCACAGGAAAUGUGGAGGAAGCAAAUUGGAGAUGCAGAUGAAGGAGAUAACCAUAAGAAGACUCAGUGGUACCGUGAAGGCGUUGCCUAUUGGGAAGUAAGUCUUUCUUAACUCUGGUUCUUACAUUUGUAUGUGGGUACCAUUACCGAACUCAUAGUAUAGUUAUUGGUUUCUUUGGUUGUGCUAAGAGAAGGGUGUGGAGGCAUCGGUAGAUGGGGUGUUGGGUGGAUUUGGGCAAGUAAAUGAGGCAGAUGUCAAGGGUAGUGAGGUUUUUCUCAAUACCCUUUUGCAUGAAAGAUUCUCGAUGGCGGUGGAAGAAAUCACCAUCUUGUUGCUCUUGGUACUUCUCUGUCUCUCUCUGUGUGCUCAACUUUAUAUUGUUUUUAUGAAGUUAUAUACCCAUAUAUGUUCUGUUGAGGUAGUUUGGUUUAUGUUAUUAUGAUUAUUUUUUUACACUAAAAAUGAACCUUAGGUUAUUAUGCGCCAUUAAAUGUGGAAGUGCAAAGUUGGUGAUGGGAUCCUACUUCAUUAGAAUGUAACAUUGGUGGAAAACCUAAUUAACUAUAAAUUAAACAAAAAAACAUAGUGGUGACAGCAGAUAGGGAUGGUGUGAUGGAUGAAAUUUUGAGUUAAAUAUCCGCAAUUAGUGCUUGAAACCGGAAACCAAGAUGACUUGAUAACACAACCAUGAAAAGUUUAUGUCCCAUAAUCCCAACCCAUAAAGGAAAAUAAAUAAAUAAAGAAGAGAAAGGCAUGGAAAUUUGGAUGAAUAUGCAAGAAGCAUGUCAUGCAUUAGAGGUCUUGCUUUGAUUUAGAAUGCCAGCGUUAUAGGUGUUGCAACUAUUUAGAAUGCCAUAAUGCAAUUGAGAAUUGGGUUUACUACAUGCUAUUUUGCUUAAUAAAAAACCAUCUUUAAGCAAUAUUUUUUUUUAAAUGGGGAUUUUUUUAAAGCCCUUUUAAAUAACAUGUUUUUGUAAAAGGCCGACAGGAUACUUUUAACUAUUUUUAGCCAUCAGAAAAGAUUUUGGGAUAAAAAUACCCUUAAUGAGCCGUCUUCGUUAGCGUACACUCUCAAACAGGCGAAAAAUGAGAAAAAAAAAUAUGCAAAGAUUUGUUGUGCAAAAUACCCUUUUUUUUUCGAAGGUUGUGCAAAACAAAAUAAAGUUACAUGAGAUGGUUUUUUAGAGAUUUUGGACAUGGCAUUCGGAUAAUAGGAGAAGAGAGAUAUUAAAUCAAACGAGGAACAGGUCUUCAUGAAUGGAAAGCUUGGCUAAUGAUGUGAAACCAGAAAUCCUUGAUACGGUGGUAAAUUGAAAGGAGAAAGAUGUGAAUCCAAGCAGGAAAUGGUCCUGCUAUAGCAGGCCAUAUGUUAGAUGGCUGUCGCAGGGCAGGUCAGGGUUUAAAGUUUGUGAAACGUCAUGUUGGGAAUGUAUGACACGACACCGCUCAGAGUUGGUGAGACGCCAUUGAGGGAAUCUAUGACACGCUAGAGUUAAGAGUUGGUGACANNNNNNNNNNNNNNNNNNNNNNNNNNNNNNNNNNNNNNNNNNNNNNNNNNNNNNNNNNNNNNNNNNNNNNNNNNNNNNNNNNNNNNNNNNNNNNNNNNNNNNNNNNNNNNNNNNNNNNNNNNNNNNNNNNNNNNNNNNNNNNNNNNNNNNNNNNNNNNNNNNNNNNNNNNNNNNNNNNNNNNNNNNNNNNNNNNNNNNNNNNNNNNNNNNNNNNNNNNNNNNNNNNNNNNNNNNNNNNNNNNNNNNNNNNNNNNNNNNNNNNNNNNNNNNNNNNNNNNNNNNNNNNNNNNNNNNNNNNNNNNNNNNNNNNNNNNNNNNNNNNNNNNNNNNNNNNNNNNNNNNNNNNNNNNNNNNNNNNNNNNNNNNNNNNNNNNNNNNNNNNNNNNNNNNNNNNNNNNNNNNNNNNNNNNNNNNNNNNNNNNNNNNNNNNNNNNNNNNNNNNNNNNNNNNNNNNNNNNNNNNNNNNNNNNNNNNNNNNNNNNNNNNNNNNNNNNNNNNNNNNNNNNNNNNNNNNNNNNNNNNNNNNNNNNNNNNNNNNNNNNNNNNNNNNNNNNNNNNNNNNNNNNNNNNNNNNNNNNNNNNNNNNNNNNNNNNNNNNNNNNNNNNNNNNNNNNNNNNNNNNNNNNNNNNNNNNNNNNNNNNNNNNNNNNNNNNNNNNNNNNNNNNNNNNNNNNNNNNNNNNNNNNNNNNNNNNNNNNNNNNNNNNNNNNNNNNNNNNNNNNNNNNNNNNNNNNNNNNNNNNNNNNNNNNNNNNNNNNNNNNNNNNNNNNNNNNNNNNNNNNNNNNNNNNNNNNNNNNNNNNNNNNNNNNNNNNNNNNNNNNNNNNNNNNNNNNNNNNNNNNNNNNNNNNNNNNNNNNNNNNNNNNNNNNNNNNNNNNNNNNNNNNNNNNNNNNNNNNNNNNNNNNNNNNNNNNNNNNNNNNNNNNNNNNNNNNNNNNNNNNNNNNNNNNNNNNNNNNNNNNNNNNNNNNNNNNNNNNNNNNNNNNNNNNNNNNNNNNNNNNNNNNNNNNNNNNNNNNNNNNNNNNNNNNNNNNNNNNNNNNNNNNNNNNNNNNNNNNNNNNNNNNNNNNNNNNNNNNNNNNNNNNNNNNNNNNNNNNNNNNNNNNNNNNNNNNNNNNNNNNNNNNNNNNNNNNNNNNNNNNNNNNNNNNNNNNNNNNNNNNNNNNNNNNNNNNNNNNNNNNNNNNNNNNNNNNNNNNNNNNNNNNNNNNNNNNNNNNNNNNNNNNNNNNNNNNNNNNNNNNNNNNNNNNNNNNNNNNNNNNNNNNNNNNNNNNNNNNNNNNNNNNNNNNNNNNNNNNNNNNNNNNNNNNNNNNNNNNNNNNNNNNNNNNNNNNNNNNNNNNNNNNNNNNNNNNNNNNNNNNNNNNNNNNNNNNNNNNNNNNNNNNNNNNNNNNNNNNNNNNNNNNNNNNNNNNNNNNNNNNNNNNNNNNNNNNNNNNNNNNNNNNNNNNNNNNNNNNNNNNNNNNNNNNNNNNNNNNNNNNNNNNNNNNNNNNNNNNNNNNNNNNNNNNNNNNNNNNNNNNNNNNNNNNNNNNNNNNACAGCAUUUUACUUGAUAUGCAUGUCGUGUCACAGAAUUUUACUUGUUAUGCAUGGCGUUUGACAGCAUUUUACUUGUUAUGCAUGGCGUUUAACAUCAUUUUACUUGAUAUGCAUGUCGUGUCACAGAAUUUUACUUGUUAUGCAUGGCGUUUGACAGCAUUUAACUUAAUAUGCAUGGCGUGUUACAACAUUUUACUUAUUAUGCAUGGUGUGUCACAACAUUUUACUUGUUAUGCAUGGCGUGUCACAACAUUUUGAUUGCAAUGCAUGGUGUGUCACAACAUUUAUUCCUUAUAUAUGUGUUCAGUGUACCUUGUUGCACAUGACUGCUUAACUCUCUGGUGUAUGUGUGCCAUAUUUUGCAGAUCCAACGCAGAGAGUAUGAGGAUCUUGAGAGUUUGCUGAUCGUGCCGAGGGAGAAGUAGGCGUUCAAUGUCGCAAUUAACACUCACUAUAAGUGGUCGCAGCUGCAUUCCAUCACAAAGACUCUCUAACAGAAGGGGGAGUACGAUCCAGUUAAGCGUACCUGCUUCGGAAUGCUCUUGGACGUAUAUCCACAGGGGUACUUUUACGUCGGUCUCUUGCACAACAUCAUGAUUCACCGGAUCACUGAGAGGCAGUCAAUGGACCACGAGCUAUGGUUUGCCAUUGGCAAGAGCAAGGCGCGACUAUCAAAGCGGGAGUUCUGUCUCAUCACCGGGCUGAAGUUUGGUCCAAUGCCCGAUGUGUUCAGACGAUCAUACGAGGUUGCUGCAGAUGGAAUUCAUGCAAGAUACUGGAACGGGGAGGACAGCGUUAAGCUGCAGGCUUUGCUUGAUACCUUCCGCGGGGGUAACUUUCAGCGACCAAGAGAUGCGACCAAGAUGGCACUCGUCUUGAUCGCGAAUAACAUUUUAUUUGGUCAAGACUACCAUAGACGGGUGACGCCUUAAUUGCUGUCAUUGGUGGAGGACAUCGACGUUUGGAAUGUCUUCCCAUGGGGGCACUAUGUUUGGAAACUGACCUUGGACUACCUUUUGAAGGGGUUCGAAGUUCCUGACUUGAGCGUGACAAAGGAAACUCGGUUACGUUACAACAUUUACGGAUUCGCAUGGGUGAUACAGGUACUAAAACGUAACAUUUUUCAAUUUCCUUUCGAAAAAAAAAUUUAUGGGUGUAGUCGUUUAUGAUUGACGGUCUGAUAAUGGUUACAUUUGGCAUGCAGUUAUGGGCAAUGGAGACAAUUUCGGCCCUCCGAAAAAUAGUUGCCCUCUCUGGUCAGAAGGACAACGUCCACCCAUGAAUGUGCAGAUGGGAUUGCAAUCAGAAGCCAAAAGACUUCUACAGGACAAUUCAGAAGUUAGAGUCAUCUGACCAAGUGAGUGAACAACUGUUAAUUUUUACGUUAUAUUUGUAAAAUAAUUUUCCUUAUUCGAUAAUGACAACAUUUUAUUUGUUUAUUUGUAGUUGUGGGCACUGGAGGCGUUGUAACCCACCACGGAUGAGGCCCUCCGGGAGUAUUUUGUGGACCUUGAUGUCCCGUUAUCAGAGGGCAACGAGUACGUGCCAAUAGGGCACAUGGAGGAUCGGUCAGCUUGGGGCUUAGGUGCGAGGCUAAAAAGGAAAAGCUUGAAGGAGAAAAGAGCCUCUGGUGGCACGAAGAGGAUGCACACCGCCGCUGCUUUAGUUGAUGAGUUGAUGGAUGAAGGGGACGACCAUGGUCAAGGCAGUGAACAGCCAGUAAGGACAAUUGUAACAGUUUUGUGUUCUCCAAUUCCAUUUGUGAUUAUCGAAUAACAUUUCUGUGUUUGCGGUUGGACCAUGGGUCGGCAGCUCCAGAACCACCCACCGGUCUUCCUCAAAUGCAAAGUGGAAACGACCUGUCGGUAAGAUCGGUUCUAACGGUUUGUGUUCUACAUUCUCACAUAUGUUUAUCGAGUAACACAGUAAUUUAUGUAAUUGCAGUUUACGGAAGCGACGACAGGUCCUCAAGCACCGAUAGGUCCAGCUCAACCGCAGACUGCUAACUAGCCGGCGGUAAGGAUAUUAAAGUUAUAACAAUUAAUGUUCAACAAAUUCAUACAUGAUUAUUGAAUAACACAAUUAAAUAUGUAAUUGCAGUAUGCGGAAGCGACAAUAGGUCCUGAAGCACCAAUCGGUUCGGCUCCACCGCAGACUGCUAACGAGCCGCCGGUUAGGAUAUUAAAGUUGUAACGGUUAAUGUUCAAUAAUUCCAUAUAUGAUUAUUGAAUAACAUAAUUAUAUAUGUUAUUGUAGUUGACCUAGUCGAGAACAGUCAAUGACGGAGCAGUCACAACUCGCCAGCUCCGAUGGAUCAUGCGCAAGCAUGAAAAAGAUAUGUUGGAGCUGAAGGCUUCAAUUCAGUCAUUGAGUGUAGCAAUGUAGACGAUUGAGGACCAUAUUGUUGGUCGGAUUCUUGACGGCCUUAAAUCACAAGUACGCUAUUCUAUCUUCGCUUGUAUUUUGAUGGUUUACGUUUAGCAACUAUUUAGACUGUGUUUUCUUGAUGGUUUUAACUGCUUUUUGGUCAUUAGCGGGUCAAGACAUUUCUAUUAUAGUUAGUUGUUGUCGUGUCAGCUUUAGCGUGUCACAACAUUAUAUAUGUUAUUUAUGGCGUGUCACAACCUUUGAUUUUGAUAUGCAUGGCGUGUCAGAACAUUUUGCUUGUUUUCCUUGGCGUGUCACCAAGUUUAUCUUGUUAUGCAUGGUGUGUCACAACAUUUUCCUCAUUAUCCUUGGCGUGUCACCAAGUUUAUCUUGUUAUGCAUGGCGUGUCACGACAUUUUACUUGUUUUGCAUGACAUGUGACAACAUUUUACUAUUUAUGGGUUGUGGUAUUUUAUAAGCUAACUAACUGUUUUUCCAAUUUUGUAGGGCGGUCCAUCUCACAGUGCUGGUCUGGAGCACGAUGAUGCUGAUGAUGGACAACAUCAUGAACUUGGUGUUGACAUUGACGAUGACGUUUUUGGUGCUGAUGGAGAGCACGUAACUCAUGUAGAUGACGUCGUCGAAGAAGCUGUGGCAGUGGAUGUCACCCUUCAGUCAGAUGCUGAAGGAGAACAUCUUCCUCCGGCCUAUGCAUUCAUCGACGCAGCAGCAGGAGCUAUCGUUCAUUAUCGUGAGAGCACUCCUGAUACAGUUGAGAUACGGUUGUCGUCACCAGAGUCAUUUGCUGUCCAUCAUGGUGCAACAAAAGUUUCAAACCCAACUGAGCGGGCACGGUUGAAAAUGGUGAACAAAUACAUGGCAAGCCCAUUCGUCGACCCCUUAGUGACCCGUCGAAAUGUGAGGGAUAAUAUAGGAAAAGACUACGAAGCUUUCAAGAAAGAGGAGUCUGCGAGGUAAGCUCAUAAAUAAAAUUGCAAAUAUUGUUUUUCAAUGAAACAGUUAUCCACCAAGACUUAUGAAAUUAAUUAUGUUACAUAUGCAAGUGUAACAUCGGCAUCUUAGGGGAUCAAGGGGCUGACUUUUUCAUAACCUUAGAGGAUCCUAAUAAGGAAAUGACAAGUGAACAUAUCGACGCAUGCCUCAGCCUAUUCUGCAAGCGGAUGACAGGGCCGAAGUCGAAGUUGUACACUACCCGUGCAUGCAUGGUUGACACGAUAUUCUCCGUAAGUUUAUUUGAAAAUUGUUCAAUUCUAUAAAUACUAAGUUUUUGAUUGCAUGAAGUGUAAGCUAAUAUUUACAUGUUUUACAAGACACCAUCCGUAUACUACACACAGAAUUUCCAACAGAAGAUGCCCAAGCCAAAAUGUAAAUUCGAUGAGUUGCGGGGCUAUGUGGAGGGUGAAAGGCCAACGUACGCCAAAAAAUGGAAAGAUGUUGAUUUCAUCAUCGUGCCUUGCAACGUUGGUGGGCAUUGGGUGGUUGCGAAGAUCGACUUGGUGAGGUGGACGAUCAAGGUUGUGGACGAAGCAAUAACUUCGAAUGCUAAGGAUAACGGAGUUCGUGCGGGUCAGAUGACACCCUUGACGACAAUGAUGCCAUUAAUCUGCCACCAAGCCGGUUAUUUCAACAACAUACGUAGGAAGAGACGGGAUUUGACACCGAUGCCAUUGGAUAUUCAUUUACCAAAAACUAAAGUGCAUUGGCAGAAUGAUAGUGUCAGCUGCGGUAUGUUCAUGAUAGGGUACAUCGAGCAUAUUUUGCAAUCAGAAAAGAUCAGAAUUAAGCAGAAUAUGAUUGCAAAAAUGCGUCGGCAAUAUGCUCUGGAAAUUUUUUCCAACAAUUGGGAGAGUGAACCUUGAACAUAUAGGCCCUUGUUUGUAUAAUUUUUUUGGUACACAUAAAUUUUUUUAUACAAUUCAUUUUAUACACAUUUUUUGUACACACUUUUUAUUGAAUACAAUUCAUUGUAAACAGAUAUAAUUCUUUCUGUAUACACAAUAUACUUUGUAUAAUUAUUUGAUACACAAUUAACUUUUUUGCCUAUACACAAUUAAUUUGAUACCAAUAAUUUUUUUUCUUUUCUAUAUACAAUAUAUUUAAUUUGAUACACAGUCGGAAGAAGUCAGCGUGUGACACCUUAAAUAUGAUACCACUCAACGUGUCCCAACAUACAUCUGCUUGCACUAAGCGUGUCACCCAAAAAUUUAGCAAUUAGUCAACGUGUGAUGCCGUAAAUCCACUAACACUCGGCGUGUCAGCCGAUAAAUAUACUUCCACUCAGCGUGUUAGAAGAAUUGGGCCGUCGUGUGUCACCCCAGGUUGGCAUUAAUUAAUUUCUAGGUUCGUCGUCUUUCUUUUCCAGGCACACCGGCUGCACCAACCCAACAUUACAUUGAUUAACAUUGAAUAUAUAGAUUUUUCCAUCCAUCUAAUUGCUUCCAGCAUGAAAUUGUUCUGUAUCCAUCCUCCCUUAUUUUUCCAGUUGUUUCCAGGCCAAAAUUCUAUCCUGCCAUUAUAAAAUCAUACGUCUAAAUUUACACACCAGAACUUGUUAUGCAUGGCGGGUUAGAACAAUUUAAUUGUUAUGCAUGGCGUGUCGGAACAUUUUGCUUGUUAUCCUUGGCGUGUCACAACCUUUUACUUGUUAUGCAUGGCGUGUCAGAACAUUUUGCUUGUUAUCCUUGGUGUGUCACAACCUUUUACUUGUUAUGCAUGGCGUGUCAUUUCAUUUUUCUUGUUAUGAAUGGCGUGUUACAAUAUUUUAUUUGAUAUGCAUGGCGUGUGACAACAUUUAACUUGUUAUGCAUGGCGUGUCUCACAUUUAUUCUUUAUUUAUUUCUUCUGUAUACCUUGUUGCACAUUAUGGCUUAACUCAUUGGUGCAUCUGUCCUAUGUUUUGCAGAUCCAACGAUAUAGUAUGAGGAUCUUGACAUUUUGUCUGCUCGGUAAUUCUAUGAGGCCUUUUUAGUUACGGACUUUGUUGCCAAACAUUUCAGACAGAUAAGCAAAUACAUGGCUCUUGUCUGAUAAAGAUUGUAAUUAGAAACAUUUUUUACAAACAAAUAAGAAUGUACUUUAACACGAUCUUGAUCAGAUAGAGGCCUUGACAUGCUUAUCUGCCUGAAAUGUUUGGCAACAAAGUCCGUAACUAAAAGUGCCUCAUAGAAUGAUCGAGCAGACAAAUCCGUAAAGCAAAACGAAUUCAACUACAAUUUUCAGAUACAUUUAGUUAGGCGGUCAGGCUGUCUUCAUUCACAACACAGCUUACAUUUUCAGACAUUCUCCUUCGUAUUGGACAGUUGUUGCGUGUGUGAUCGAUUUGUCUGCAACUUGAACAUGCUUUGGGUCGGCGCAGUCGUGGAGUCGCCGAUUGACUUGGAGAUGGUGCUGGAUUUAUGGAUGGAACUGCAAAUGGGUAUGGGCAGUUCUGUCUGUCAUGCCCGUACCUCUUGCAUUGCGAACAUCUCCGUGCUUGACUGCCUUCACCAGCUGAUGGAAUCCUUCUCCUCCUAGGUUUUUCUGUUUGGCCUCGCCAAGGUGAAGGUAAGACGACAAUUUGUUUCACAUGAGGGAGGAUGCCCCACUCACUAGAAUGCCCUACCGGCCUAAUGGAUCCUGAAUAACCCUCCACGAAAACGGUUGUCUUGUAGUAGUCAGCGCAAAAUUCAAUGGCUUCACGAUUGCAUUUACUGAAAAACACUAAAAACUCAAUCUUCAAGCACAAUGUAAAGGCUAUGUCAAUUACGGUUCAAAUAAGAAAUAAAUAUAUUCUGACCUUAUUACUGCAAUGGCAUGGCUGCAUGGCAGUAAAUCUGUUUGGAACUCACAACAUGAACACGUCUUCCUGGACAAGUUUACAAGUCCAUCCAUCUUCCCGUCUUUAACUUCAAACUUCACUCGAUUGAUAAGCUUAACUAGAAAGCGAUGUGCAUCAUUGAACCUUUUACUCAACUACCUGGCAACCCAAGGGCUGAGGGGCGUGGUCACCUUGACGGCCUCUUCGUACCGUUCAUGGAACCAACACUGGAACAUGUCUUUGAUGAACUCGAUCAAAACAGUGAUCGGCAUUUGUCUUGCAUGCUUCAAGCAUGAGUUAACACAUUUCGCAAUGUUGAAUGUCAUCAUUUGGUAUCGCCUUGUCGGUGAACAUGCACGUGCCCAUUUCUCAGGCCCUAUUCUUAUAAAGUUCGCGUGGGCUCUCAGGUGAAUCUGCUGUAUUUGGUUCAUAUGUCUGUUGAAAUCAGCCACCUUAUAGCAAUCUUAAGCAAGGGUGAAAAGCAUACAAACAUCGUCACGCUUGAACUUGUUUUUAAAAUUUUUUUUCAAGUGGUAACCGCAUAAACCAUGGUGCGCUUCUGGGUAUGCAUUUUGGAUUGCUUUCUUAAUGCCGAGAUGCUGAUAAGAAAUGAACAUAGUGUUUUCAGGACAACCAACCGCAUCAUGCAGCUUAAGAAACCACAUCCACGAGUCUUCGUCCUCAACAUGGCCGAUGCCAAACGCAACUAGAUAUAUGCACUCAUUCACAUCUUUGCAUACAGCGACAAAUAAAACACCUUUGAACCUGCCUUUCAGAUGUGUCGCAUCAAUUGCAACCGUAAGACGCAUUACAUCCCUAAACCCCCGAAUACAAGCCCUGUAUGACCAGAAACAAUAUUUGAAUCUCUCUUCCUCAUCAGUAGCCAUUGCAGUCACUGUGCCAGGAUUUUCUUGUUCCAACAUAUAAAAAUACGAUGGUAGUAGUUGGAAUGACUCCUCCGGUGGACCGAAAACAAGCCUCUCUGCAUACUCCUUCGCUUGCCAAGCCUUACCAUACAAGCAUUCCAAUCCCCACUGAACCCUCAUCUCACAAAUUAUGUCCUUAAGUCUCAAUGCUACUCCAUUACCCCGAAUCUUGUGUGACAUAAGUUCACCAAUCAUCUUCCCACUCGUAGUUGGAAACCGUCCUUGCAAACCAUCAAUGGUACAGGUAUGUACUUUGUGGAAUGUUCGAACUUUCCAAUAUUCUCCUCUAUCAGGUAACUUCAUUGCACGAACACUGAACUUGCAUGCCUUGUCCUUGCAACCAACCUCAUAACGAGCUUUACAUGACUUUUUUACUCUUAUCGCAAACUUCUCUUUUAUAACCAACAUGUUCAAAGCUCGUUUCAACUUUGCCUUCGACGAAAACAUUCUUCCUUUGUAUAAGCGAUCUUCGGCACAUGUCGACUCCUCAGUGGUAAUUGUUUGGAAGAAGAACCUUUCUGCACCUGUAAUUACCUACAUACGAGAUAUCCUUGCAUUUCCCCUUUCCUGAUCACUAUCAUCGAGCAAUGUAUCAAAGGAACGAAUCUCGUUCUCACCAACGAUGGGGUUAUUGUAUAUGGGGUCAUCACACUGAACAUCUCCUACAUUAACACCUCCAAUAGGUUCCGUUUCGCCUUCAACAUUAUUGCAAACUCGAAUGUCACUGUCAUAAAGGCAGUCAUCGUCUAAACUGUCACCUUGCGAUUGUUCAAGCCCAUCAUCUGAAGUGUGAUCAAAUCUAUCUUCACCGGCAGCGAACAAAUUCUCAUUUCCCUCAUCAAAUGCAGUAUUAUACUCCAACGUCGCAGUGUCACCCUCCAACCUCACAUUGAUAUCCUCAACUAUCGUAUUCUCAUUUGACAAUGGCAUUUCACACUCUACAGUUUCACCCGAUCAUUGCAUUUGUUCAAGAGAAGAAAGAAAUUGGUUUAAUGCACAUCCUGAUGGAAAUUGUGCAGCCAACUGUUCUGUUAAUGUCGUUUGUCUACCGGGCUGCACAAACUCUUGUGCAUACCUCAAUUGCCAUUGUUGUGGGUUACGGACCGAAUGCUGUGGUAUAUGUGAAGCAUUUUAAAUCUCAUUUUAAUUCAGUUGAUUACUAUGUUGUCCAACUUCUCCAUGUGACAUAACAUUUGUUUGGCGUCUCUUAAUGCUGACAUACACAGCCGGAACAUUCCUCUGUUCUAGCAAAAUUAAUGCAACAUCUUCAUCGUCCUUGAUAAUUGGCCGUGAUAGCUCUCCAAGUGUACUGAUCAAUGCAUGUAACUCAAUCUCGUCAAUUUCUAAGUUUACCCCAACAACAUCUUCAACCAGCUUUAUCAAGCCCAUAAACGACAAAUCACUCUUAACCCCCCGCAUUCGUGACUCACCACCCUUGUAAAUGCCAUCCAGCCACUGACCAUCGUGUCUUAUCACAAGUCGCAUAAUUGAAACCCCACUGAAAUUUUGAAAAAAAAAUUAUCAAUCAUUUUACACAAUACAUGCCGUGAUAAAAAAUUUGUCAGUCGUGUUGUUACACGCCAUGCAAAUAACGUAAAAUGUUGUAACACGCCAUGCAUAUCAAGUCAAAUGUCGUGACACGCCAUGCAUCAGUAUCGUUACACGUCAUGCAUCACUGUCGUGACACACCAUGCAUCACUGUCUUGACACGCCAAUCACUGUAAUUACUGACUGGUUACACCAACAUCCGUGACACGCUAAAAACCCAAAAAACCAGUUAACCCAUGACACACCAGGAACAGCCAUGACACGCCAAAAACCCAUAAAUUCAGUUAACCCACCACACCCCAAGAACAGCCGUGACACGCUAAAUAACUCUUCACUCAUGUUAUAGAUGCAUGGCGUGUAACAACUUUGGGCAAUGUUUCUAAUCCAUCUUAUCAUUUACACCAAAUGUUUCAAAAAUUUAAGUGUGUUGCAGAAAUAAACCUAAUAACAGGUACCUUGAUGUCAUCUCUGCUAUAGGGUGUGUUAAUCUACGACAAUGUGGCCAGAUGUCGAGAGAUAAACCACAGCCCGAUGACGAUGGUGCUCAACAGAGAGUUGACAGAGCUCAUACAAUUCAAAGAUUUGAGAGAGCUGACAAUGAUGGUGCUCAACAGAGACUUGCCACAGUUGAGACAAAGAAAGAUGACCGAGCCCAAACAGCUUUGUGCAUUUAUUUUUAAUGUUUUUCAUUUUCUCUCUGGUAGGAGGCAGAUAGCUCAAACAGCUAAGCAUUUAUUUGAAACGAUAUUUUUAAGGGCAUUUUGGUCUAAUUCAUGUUUAUUUUUGGGUAGAAACAGAUAACUUUAUAUGGGUGGUUAUUUCUGAAAUCACCUUAUCACGAUAUCCUUCUCUCACAAUUUCCUCUUUUUAAAUUUGGGAAGAAGCUUGCUAGGAGUUCUCUCUCUGUCCCUUAAGGGUUGUGUGCUUGUGGGGGGUGGGUGUUGGGGCACCCCUAGACCCAAUUUGAGACUGUUGUGAGUACUCAGAAUAAAGGAAAGAAAUUUUUGUGUUUAAGAUUGAAAAAUCACUUUCACAUUACAUCAGCAACGAAGAUGCUAUAUCUUGCUAAUAUUCUGGAACUUGUUAUCCUUUGAAAGGCAAAAAUUAGAUAUGUCUUCAGUAUGUUUUAUUACUAGGAGAUUGAUUCUUCAACAUGAGUAGGAUCUAUAAUUGCCUAUAUAUGAAGUUGGUCUUAAUACUUGUGAGUUGGUGGACUAUACUAGGGCAAUUAACUGAAAUCUUACGAAGGGGAAUUGUAGGGGAAAUUAUUUAGGAAACUAAGCAGUUGGAGUUUGGCUUUAAUGUAAAGAUAUUUUGGUAACUAAGCAAUAAUGGUUUGGCUUUAAUAUGAAGAUAAUUAAGUGAUUUCCACAAGUUUUAUUAUAAGUAAUAUGAUAUAAGAUGCACUUAAGCACUUAGCUUUAUGAUUUGUGCAUGUAUCCCUUGCUAAAAGAGCUGGUUUUAAAUUACCCUCCCCUAAUGAAAUAAAAUAAAACAUGAUAAUUGAUGGUUGUGCCCUCAAACUUUUGCCUUCAUAUGGUUUAUGUUGGUGGAAUUAAAACAAACUCUUUUGAUGAUCUUAGUGUAGAAGAAUCUGGUACAUUUUAGGGCUUAGCAUACUAAAUUAAACUAUGUCAUAAUUCUCAAAACACUGCAUUGCUGACCUUUUUUUCAAGUCCAUACAUUAAGUAGUAGAAAUACCUGCAAAUGGUUCUAAAGCAUACUUAAAAUAUUACUGCAGUACUGAUCUGUUUGGUAUUUCAUUUUUCUUGAUGUUUUUAAUUCUAAUUGAAAAUCAUAAAUCUAGUUGACAUUCUGAGCUCUUAGUUUCUAUGUUAAUUUAACAUACUGCAGAUUGUGGUUCUGGCAUAGGAAGAAUAACCAAGAAUCUUCUCAUAAGAUAUUUUAAUGAGGUAAGGUCAUUUUUCUCUUUCUAUUAGCAUAUUUUUAAUAUUUCUGACAUUUACCAUCUUUGCAGUUUAUUGAUAACAUGGUUCAUAGUGCAUAAUUUUUACUACCUAAAGAAUUUCUCAGUUGUAUUUGAAUGAAAAGCAAAAUUGGGUAGUGCCUUUUAAAAAAUUCAUGCAGGACAUGAGGAGGGUACCCAUUAAUUUCAAGGUACCUAAACCUUAACCCUAUAAAAAAUCAAAUAUCUAAACCCUAUUAAUUACCUGAAUAAUUUUAAAAGUUACUACCCUAACCUUAACCUUAACCCUAAUACAUUCCCGCUAUCCUAUAAUUACCCUAACCUAUUUAAAAGCCCGAUUAGAUAAAAAAUUUAUUAAAAUGUUCUUCAUGGGUACCCAAUUACCUAAACCCGAACCUGUAUUCAUAUACAAUAAUAUUUCUUCUACAUUUUACAUAUAAUUAACUACUAAUUAAAUUAAUAAAAGCACAAAUAAUAAAAUUUAAAUUUAAAUAAUCAAAAACUAUAAAGUGUGUUUAUAAAUUGAACAUAAUAUAUAAUAUAAAUCAAUAUUAUUUUAUUGUUUAAUAGUUAUUAACUUAUAUAAUAGCAAUGAUAUUCUUUAUAAAUGAACAUAAUAAAUAAUAUAAAGUAUAUGUAUUAAAAGACAAUACAAGUUAUAUACUAUAAAGUGUGUAUAUAUAAAUUAUAAUUAAUAAUUUUAUAAAUUUAUAUUUUAUAANAAAUUAUAAUUUUUAUAAUGUUAACAAAAAAUAAAAAGUAAAUACAUUUAUUUUUAAAGUGUAUAUAUAUAUAUAUAUAUAUUAAAAGUAUUUUAGUGUAUAUAUAUAAUAGUGAUUAUAUUCUUUAUAAAUGAACUCAAUAUAUAUAAAGUAUAGAUAUUAAAAGAUAUUACAAGUUAAUUAAUAAUCAUAGUUUCAUUAAUUAAUUUAAUUAAUUAUAUGAGUUUGUCCUUUACUACAAGAAAUUAAAAAAAAUAGUUAAGUUUCAAAACUAUUCUAAUCUCACAACUUCUUUUUAGAUAAUUAAGUUUAUCUAUAUAAAAGUAUCUAUAUUAUAAUUAAUAAUUUUAUAAGUUAUAAUUUUUGUAAUGUUAACACAAAAUAAAAAGUAAAUAUGGUUAUAUUUAAAGUGUGUACACACACUAAAAAUGUUUUAUUAUAUGUAUAAUAGUAAUUAUAUUUUUUAUAAAUGAACCCAAUAUAUAUGUAGACACUAGUUUUUUAGGUGAAAUAAACAUUAAAAAAAUAAAAGAAAAAAGAAAAAAAGAGAGAAAAUCAAAAAAAUAAUAAAACAAAAAUCAUAAACAAAAAUGAAUUAAAAAUAAUAAUAAUAAAAAUAGGAGAGAGAGAGAGAGAGAGGGGUACGACUGGUAGGGUGCGGACGCACCCUGCCAGGCACCACCCUCACUUUGCUAUACACGAAAAAUUCGCGUCUAGCAGAGUAAUGGGAGCGUGCCCCCUUUUGCCCAGUAUAAAGGGGGCACUAUAGCACAGGGAUCGGAGGAAUCGAUAAUAAAAAAAAUACCUUGGUAACAUUCAGCAACCAAAAAACCCUAGGAAUCUCUUAAAACCGAAAACAAACCCAGAAAAAAAUCGCUUGGAGUAAAAAACCUGCAAACCAAAAAUUCCUAAGAAUCCCUAGCAAAAUCUAGCAACCAAAACACCCAGCCACAAUCAAAAACAUCCUAAGCUUUCUAGCAGCCAGAAACCAUCCACAAUCGAAACAAAAAAAUUAAAAAAUCACAAAAAGGGAAAACGGGUAGCCGUGUUCUCUUUUUGGGGAUUUUUAGUUUGUUUUUUUAGGGGAGAUUUGGAGGGGAUUUCAGCAACCGAUGAGGUAUUUGAGUUUGGGGAUUUCGUGCCGCCGUAGUAGAGAGAGAGAGAGAGAGAGAGAGAGAGUGAGUGAGUGAGUGAGUGAGGAUUUGGGGUUUUUGGGAUACCACCGGUUUUAGAGAAAUAGAGUUAGGGCUUGGGUUUGCUACCGGUUCAAGGAAGGAUUGACCGGCGACUAGAAGGGAAGAUCUAGUCGGUCGACGACAGGGAGGGUAGAGCCAGAUUCAGACGGUAAAGAGAGAGCAGAAUCAGGCGAUCGGCGGUGAGGAGUGUGAUGCACCGUUUGAGCAGGAAAGGAACAGGAAAGUGGCUGUCGGUGAAGGGUUUUUGAGAGAGAGAAGCUGACGCCGGUGAAGAGGGGAAGGAAGAAGAGUUUUUUGGAGAGAGAGGACAGUAAUCGGCGGCUAGACAGAGAAACAAAAGGUAGAAAAUGAAAGGUUCUAGGGAGAAGAAAGAAAGGUGAGCGGUAAGGGAGAAGAAAAGAAAAAAGAAAAAAAAAGGGAAGGUUUUUCUCCAUUGCACCAAACAAUGCCGUUUUGGGCAUACCAGGGGUGGCUGUGUAAAGCACCAGACAGUGGGCUUAGUGAAGAUCGUGGGUCAACAGGUUAGCUUGGGCCCACUUAGCCCAAUCAGGUAAAAUAUUACUCAUUGCCAAAUGGGUCUGUGGUGAUUUGGGCUGUCUAAACUGUUAUGAUAUGGCUUGUUUAGAUUUAACCCAAUUUAUUUAGUUAGAGCUUUAAUACUUGAUGAUAUAAAAUUAAUUUUAAGUUAUUAUAAUGUUCUAAAAAUUUCUGGAUAAUAGUCCUAGGGUUAGGAAAUUACUAAAGAACAGAAUAACAUAAAAAUAAGGAUAGCAAAUAUAUAUAUAAAAAAUAAUAAUAAUAACAUUUUAGAAAGCGUUUAGUUAUGCAAAGAACUUAAGUUUAGGAGAAUGUUUAUUGCAAAUAUAUAAAUAACCCUUUUAAAUACAUGUAUAUAAAAAUAAUAUAUAAAAAAAUAUAUAAAAAUUACCAUGACAUCAACUACAAAUAUAAUACUGAUGAUGGGAUGAUUGGUCGGGACGGUAGGAGUCGCAAUCCCAAGCUAAUUUUCUUUAGGUUCGGAAUCCAAAUUAAGGCUUCACCAGUACGAUGGGAGGGCCUCGAUUUUGAGAUUCUGAGAUUUUUAUUCUAAAUAAAUAAAAUUUUACUACAUAAAGAAAAAAUUAGUCAAAAAAUAAUAAAUAAUAAAUAAAUAAAAAUAGAAAAAAUAAAAAUAAAAUAAGCAUAAACUUCACGAACAUAACAUAUAUUUUUAUUGCAUCAUGCAUACCAUUGCAUAUAAGUAUUUUUGUUUACGAGUUAAGCCCCGAUGAUGGGAUUUUUCGAGGAUCUUGUGAAGGUUAGUAUUUCUUGGAAAGUUUCCUAGGUGAAAAGAUGUCUUCGGGUCCCACCAAUAUGAUGGGAGGGCUCGAAAAAACAUCUUUAAUAAAAGGCUUUCGCUCGUAUUAGGUUCAUUAUUCACGAAAAUAUUAUUUUUUAAAGAAAAACGUGCGAUAACCCCGAUGAUAGGAUUUAUUCGUUGAAUUUGUGAAGGCGAAUUUCUUGGAUAAUUCUCUAAGUAAGAGAACACCCCGGAUCCCACCAGUAUGAUGGGCGGAUUCGGGAGAACGUCUUCGAUAAAAGGUUAUUCGUUCGACAUUUUUUAUCUCACGCCGUGCAUUUCAUUUUACCUUACACUUGCAUUUCAUUUUAAAAUCAAACAAAAUAAUUUAAUAAAAUUGGAGAUAUAAUAAGCAAGUUAUAGCUAAGGAAAUUAAAUGAACUUAAAAAAUAAAGCCUAAUAGGAUAAUCUAAAAAUAGUACCGUUCAUGGAACGGGCGUUUCAGGGGUGUUAAUCUUUCUCCGGGCGUAACCGUACUCCCGAACCUAGAUCUCGAAAAAUGUAGAACAAUUUAAGAUUCUUUCGACGGGCUUAAAUCUAAUUAAAACUCUAUCGAUUAGAAUCGAGUUAAUAGAUGGCCAAUCACACUUAGUAAAAAAGAUUGGUAGCGACUCCUAGUUUUUAGAGUUUUCACUCACGUCUAGCGGUUGGGUUCCCGGACCUGCACGUUACGACAAUAUAUAAAGUAAAUAUAUUAAAAGAAAUUACAAGGUAAUUAAUAAUCAUAGCUUUAUGAAUUAAUUUAAUUAAUUAUAUGAGUUUAUCCUUAAUUAUAUGAAAUUAAAAAAAAUAACUAGGUCUCAAAACUAUUCUAAUCUCACAACUUCUCUUAAGCUUUGCAUAUUAUAAGUUUAUAUAAACAAAGGUAUAUAUAUUAUAAUUAAUAAUUUUAUAUGUUAUAAUUUUUUUAAUUUUACUACAAAAUAGAAAGUAAAUNAUAUUUCUCUUACAUAUUCUAUAUAAUUUACUAAUGAUUAAAUUAAUAAAAACACAAAUAAUAAAAUUUAAAUUUAAAUAAUCAAAAACAAAUAUCUCAAAUAUAACUAAUAGAAAGUAAAUAUAUUUAUAUUUAAAGUACAUAUACAUACACACACAUUAAAAGUAUUUUAAUAUAUGUAUAUAUAUAAUAGUAAUUAUAUUCCUUAUAAAUGAAUCUAAUAUAUAUAAAGUAUAUAUAUUAAAAGACAUUACAAGUUAAUUAAUAAUUAUAAUUUUAUGAAUUAAUUUAAUUAACUAUACGGAUUUAUCCUUAAUUACAUAAAAUUAAAAAAAAAACAUAACUUGGUUUCAAACUAUUCUAAUCUCACAACUUCUCUUAAGCUUUGCAUAUUAUAAGUUUAUAUAAACAAAAGUGUAUAUAUUAUAAUUAAUAAUUUUAUAUGUUAUAAUUUUUUUUAAUUUUAAUACAAAAUAGAAAGUAAAUAUAUUUAUAUUUAAAGUGUAUAUAUACUAAAAUUAUUUUAGUAUAUAUAUAGUAGUAAUUAUAUUUUUUAUAAAUGAACUCAAUAUAUAUAAUGUAUAUAUUAAAAAACAUUUCAAGUUAAUUAAUAAUUAUAGUUUAAUAAAUUAAUUUAAUUAACAUAUAUGUUUGUAUUUAAUUAAUGAAAUUAAAAAAAAUAGUUAGAUUCAAAAACUAUUCUAAUCUCAAAGACUCUCUUUAAGUAUAUAUAUUAUGAGUUAUAAUUUUUGUAAUAUUAAUACAAAGUAAAAAGUAACUAUAUUUAUAUUAGAAGUAUAUAUAUAAUAGUAAUUAUAAUCCUUUGUAAUAUGAUAUGAUAUUCAUAUUAUUUAAACAUAAUUUAUAAUCUAAUAAUUUUUUAAUUGAAAUAUUUUAAUGUAAUCACAUUAAUAAUUUGAGUAACCAGACUUUUUAAUAUAUUUGUCAGCUUUUAAUAAAUAUAUUAAUGUUGAUUAUUUUUAAUUUAAUCAUUUAAAUAACAACAAAAUAUAUAUAAACAGGUAUUGGGAUCGAGUUCGAGGUGGGUACCCGUGUAACUUGAAUAGUAACAUAAUCGGGUUCAGGUAGCGGGUACCCAAGAGGUACUACCCCGAACCUGAUAUGGGUAGUGAAAUCACUAUCCGAACCCGUCCUAAACUUGAUUAUAGGGUAUCUUAAUCCGAUAUAACCGGGUUGGAUACCUGUGGGUAUCUUAUAAUAGGGUAUGCAUUGCCAUCCCUACACAUUAAUAUGUAAUUCCAAUACAGUGAACAUGAUGUGGAACAUGGUGGACUUUUUCUUUUUCCUCUCUUUUUCUUUCAUCGAAUGAUAUGAAUCAGUGACAUAGUAUUAGUUGGAGCUACUAUCUUAAUAAAGCUGCAUAGUACUUUGUGAUAGCUAUGCUUUUGGACCCCUCUUCCCUUUACCAUUCUCCAGGUUGAUCUACUUGAGCCAGUUUCGCAUUUCUUAGAUGCUGCCCGUGAAAGUUUGUCUCAGGAAUAUUUUGUAGCCUCUGAUGCGCACAAAGCAAAUAAUUCUACUGUGUCUCCCUUCAGGUCAUGUACUUCAAGACUACAUUCACACAUGGAUACAUGCUUCUUGAUGUCUUGAAGUAUUCAUAACUAUGGUUAAGUCCAUGUAAGCUAUGUAUUUCCAACUUUUCACGUUUCCCUAUAUUGCGGAUGUAGCCAUGUAAUUUGCACCUCAAGCAGGCAUGUUGUUUGAGUACAAUCCUGGGAAAAACUUACAGAAGUUAAGGUAAACAUGUUAAAUAUGGGUUUGCAUCUGGAACUCACAUUUGAAUCUGGGCAACAUAGUCUGUACUCUGUAGGCGGCUGGAUUCAAGUAAAUUUUUGCAAACAAUUAUUUACUCUUUUGUGUGUGUUGGGGUGGGGGGGGUAGGGGACAGCAUAUGGGCUAGUGAAUGAGCCCUUUAAGUUGGUGAUAUAUGUGCUUGUCUUCUUCUGAUGCUUCUGGCUGUUAAAUUUUACUUUAUAAAACAGAAAUUUGACGACCAUUUUUUUUUUGUCUUUUGCUUUUUCAGGAGUUCACCCCUGAUGCUGGAAGGUACAAUGUUAUUUGGAUUCAGUGGUGCAUUGGUCAUCUCACAGAUGACGACUUUGUCUCAUUUUUUAAGAGAGCAAAGGUGAAUAAAUCUUCUUCUUGAGACAGAACUUACUUUUUAUUUGACAUGUUGUGCUGUGUGGAAGUGCAUGGAAAGAUCAAAAUUAUGUAUUGAAAUUUUCUUGCCUGCUGUCUACUAUACAUUCGAAGUGCCUUGUUCUGAUUUUUGAAUUAUGAACUGUCAGAUCAUUGCAAUGGUAUCUCAAAUUUUCCUUUUCCAAAUUUAUUGCUUCAUGCUUUCUCUCUUGUAACGUCUUUUAAACCUUCUCACAGCUAUAGGAAUUAAGGUUGUCUAGAGAACACAACAUAGCAAACACCGGAAGGAUGAUAUCGUCAAACUCUUUUUUCUUUUUGCCCUUUCUUUUUGCAAUGUGUCGUGUUGUUCAUUCUAUUCUUCUUCCUGCUAGGUAACUAGCGCAUUUGAUGGGUUAGUUUGGAGUGUUUGGGCCCAUCCCUAGCACCACAGAAACAAGGCUGGAUAAUACUUUAUAAUUCAUACAGCUAUUUUGCUAUCAUCCGUUUUCUCACCUUACAAAAGCUUGUGACCAAAUUUUGUUGUGCCUUGUGCAUUGAAAUAAGAUUUAAGAAAUGAUGGUAGGUUGACUUUUGUCCCUUAAGUUUGUAAAUGGUGGGAAAUAAAAUUAAAUCUAGAAAGUGCCAUAUUCAUUUCAUUUUUUCCAGGUGCUGUUAAGCAUAACCUUUUACACUGCCUUCAAUGUAUUUUCAUCAAAAUUAAGCAAAACAUAUUAAUAAUAAAAAUCUCCAACAAGGAAAUUCUUGGGCAUGUGUAUGUGUAUGUAAUUUGGAGACCUGAUCUCUAAGUUGUGUCCUGGAAAGAACCUUGUUGAAAAUUAUUAUUCUUGCAUAUAUGAUUUAAAAGAUUCUAAUUUGCAUUUUAAUUUGAUAUACUAAUGAAUUUGUUGAUUCCAGGUAGGCCUUAAACCUGGUGGAUUCUUUGUCCUGAAAGAGAACAUUGCUAGAAACGGUAUUGUCUUUAUGACUCUUUGAUUUUUCUAAGCAUGUUUGUUUGCCCUCCCUCCCUCUCUCCCUCCCCUUUUUAAGAAGUGCUCAAGUUUUGUUUAAAGUAUUCCUCAAACUUUCUUAUGUUUUGGUAUUCUGUUGUAAAUUUUCGUGAAGCUGUUUUUUUUUUUUGGAAAUGCCGCAUGUCAUCUCACGUAUGAGAAGACAUAAAGUUGCUUUUUUGAGCUGAUAUUACUUUUUAACUUCGUCUUAUUAUGUAAUUAUCUGCCCUCUACAACUUUGAAGUAAAAUAAUAGUUUAUAAUAAUAGAUGUUCAAUUAAAAGAUAAAUGGAUAAAGGAAUUUUUAAGCUCCAUUUACACAAUCCAUUGCUUGAUACUAAGGGAAGCAGCAAGUUUUUGUUUUAUGCAUUCCUCAAACUUUCUUAUUUUUUGGUAUCUUGCGGUAAAAUUUUCAUAAAGUUGCUUUCUAGAGCUGAUAUAACUGAUUAACUUUGUUUUAUUAUGUAUUCAUCUGCCCGCUACUGCUUGAAGUAUACUAGUUAAUGUUUUAAAUGUUUAAUUAAGGAUAAAUGGGUAAAGGAAUAUUUAAGCUCCAUUGUCUUAUUUCGUUGCUUGAUACCAAGGGAAACAGCCAAAAAGUGUUGCAACUUAUAAUUCGCAGGUUCAGGAUGAGUUUCAUCUACUCAAAUGGGUAUGGGGUAUAAUUUUAUUAUGCCACCUAUUUGGGACACCUUUUGGUAACACUGUCUAUACAACUUUCUUCACUGAAAAUUCAUGAUGUAGUGGGGAAGUAGAAACAAUAACAAGAAACCAAAACAGUGAACAAAACCAGAACAAAGGUUAAAAUUGAGGUAAAACCGAAGUCGUAACAAGUUACAAGCCAGUAAGGCCAAUUGUCGAGCAUCUUAAGGUUAAAUAAACAAGUCACUCCCAUCUCAUCUGUAAUAGAUUGAUUCAAACCAGCUAGAUAACGAGAAGUCAACUGCUCAUUAGUCUCUUUCAAACCAACCCUAGGGAAAGGUCGUUGAAACCUGAAUGAAAUUUCUCAUUCAACUCCAUUUAAUCAGCAGCGGAAAUUGCCUCCUCAUCUUCAUUUUCAUGUGUUCCCAAGUGUUGAUUUUGGCUUGCCUGGAUGUGUUUGCUGCUCGUCAACUCUCUUCCACCAUUGAAGUGCACGCAGUCCCUUCAACUUAAGCUUCACAAACAGCACCUUUCUUUGUUCUGCCAUUGGUUUCUACUAAAAAUAAUUUUCGAAACUAUCUUUCUGAUCUGAAUAAUCUUUUGCAUGCAUCUUUUUCCGGAAGUCAUCUACCUUAAUUCUAACUCCACCACCAUUGAAGUCUAGGCAUGUAACAAUCAGCCUUCCAAUCUACCACAAACAGCACUAUUUGCUGGUCGAGCAUUAUGAAAGGGGUUUUUAUCCUCUCCAUAUUCAAUUUCAUCCUCAAGAACACCUACCGGUAAACCGAAAGGGUCAGUAUUGCCUUGUGGAUUCUCCAUACAGGCUCCCAUUGGUUCCUGUCACUUUAAAGCUUGCACAGCCUGCAACAAAUCUUCAAUCAUACCCAUCAACUCAGCCAGUUCUAUUUGCCGGUCUUGAUUUCUUUUCCACGUCCGCUAACAAGUCCUCUACCACGAUUAGCCAUGGUUUAUAAGCUAAAAUCCUAGUUCAACUUUAAGAUCUCUUCAUCUGAUACCACUUUGAUGUAGUAUGGAAGUAGAAACAACAAAAACAAAAGAAAAACAAUGACGAAAACCAGAACAAAGGCUAAAAUUGAUCUUAAGAUCAUAGUAGGAACAAGUUAAAGCUGUCUAAAGUUACAGCAGCUUUUAAUUGUAGCCCUUCGAUACAAACAACCCCAUCUAAUCCUAGCCAUUCAAACUAAUUAAAAAUGAUCACAUGCUAAUCACGACACAUGACUAGAUAGAAAACAUAAUUACCAACUUUUAACUAAAGUAAAACAUAAUAAAAUAACCAAUUGGAGAAAAAUUUAAGAAUGCUCUUGCAUAGCCUUGCCCAACAAUUAAACUUGCCUAAGGCUUGACUUAACCUAGGACUUAAGUCUCAUAAUUUGCUUGCAUUCAACUCACAAAAUACUUGGAUUCGAUCAGAUUAUUGUUGAGUUAUUCUUGAGCUCAAGUGACCAAUCGAGUCUAGUUCAAGUGUUUAUAUUACUCAGUCAAGAUAGUUCAAGAGCGUAAUCAACUUUUAAUUUUUUUAAUAUAUUUUAAAAUUCCAUGUAUGUAAUACUCAUAUAAAACUAAAUAAUACAAAGAUCAAUCAAGUCCAGCUUGGAGGUCUCAGACAUAUGUACUUUCCGAAAAAAUGUUCAAGUUGAGCUUCAGGUCUUAGUUUUGUAAUUGAGUCGUGUCAUCUUCAAGCUUAUCAUUUUGUCAACUUGAUUUGGCUCAGUUAUGCACCUAGACUUUAACCAACUCAAACUGACUAAAAAGGUUACUGAAUUGAAAGUUGAGACAGGGACAACUCAAACACAAAGUAAUCUGGAAUUCUAAAUAUCGAAUUCUUAAUCAGACUCAACUUCCAUUUUUGUAAUCUGCUGUGGUAUCUUAAAUGUGCUCAAAGUUCUUAAAGUUCUUAAAGUUUUUGUAAUCAGACAGGGACAAUUUUGUAAUCUGCUGUGGUAUCUUAAAUGGUGCUCAAAGUUCUUAAUCAGACUCAACUUCCAUUUUUUUGAUUCUGAAAAACAAAACCACCUUCACUGGCUAAAAUAAAGUGGGAAUCAAUUCAGUAUGGUACAAUUUAUAGAUAUGGUACAUUUAUAGAAAUGCUGAAUCAUUUGUCACUGGCUAACAUAUUAAUUUCAAUUCAGACAUCGAAUUUUGUGAUUAGAAAUGAAGCAGCUGAAUAUGGGUAUUAAGUGGAAGAAUUGGUUUAGCUUUUCAAAAGGAUAGGAUAGAAGCAGAAUUAUGCUUUGAGCAAAGAGAGAAGAAGGAGCCACUACGAAGCUCGACUUGAACAUCGCAAGCAAGUAAAAGUUCUUUAAGGCUUUUAAUGCUCUUUAUUUUUUUUUAAAUGAAAUUGUUAACAUUGAAUAGUAGAUGAUUGGGUAGUAGAAAUGAGAGGUUGGUGUUGUUAAUGCUUUAGGGGACUUAAAUUAGAAAGUAGUAGACUACAGAACUUUUAGAGAAAUCUAGGGGGAAACAGCUAUAUAUGUAAAUUCAUUAGAUUGGAUUUGGUAUCAGAAGAUUUAAGGGAUUUAUUCAUUUAUUUAUUUAUUUGGGGGUAAGAUGGGCAAUUUAGAGGCAUGAGGGGUUGGGGGGGGAGGGAUAAAAGUCCAAAAAUUAUAAGGAGAAAGAUAAGGAAGGAGGUUAGUGGUGGGAUGCAGGCUCUGUUUUGGAGAAGUGGCCUCAUGACAGGAAAAUUCAGACAAGUUAGGUGAAAAAAGUUAGAUAAGGUGAAGAGUUGGACUUUGUUUAAUGUGCUGGGCAAAGAUGGUGUGUAGGGGGUAGAAGGCUAGGACUUUGACACUAUUGUUGUCAGAAGGGGCUUUAUGUGUUGUUGAGGGGGUGAUCAUGGUAGUGAACUUGUAACUUUAGGAAGAAUCCAGAAGUGGUAACAUCCUACCCUAUCGAUCAAGGAUUCAUGAACUGGAUUCAAUUACAGAUGUUAAGCGUGAAAUUAGUUUGGAAAUGGGUUCGGUUGCAACUCAAUUAGGACUUUGUACUGCAGCAAUAACCAUUGGCAUUACCUGUAAUAAUAACUAAAAGAUUUACUUGAGCUUUCAGUUCUUCAAUCUCGUCUUGAAAAGUGCUCAAUGCAUCCCUUGUCUCAUCACUCAGGAUAUUAUUCAUCUCGGACAGUUCUCAUUAGACUGUCUCAAUUUCAUCAAUUCCUUCACGGGGAACCAUUUGAGCUUUUACUGUGGCCACUACGGCCUCUGGCUCAUAUCCUCUGAUGGUCCUCUAGUGCACUCCACGUGGUCAUCAUUUGUACACUUUAAAUCAGCACCUCUCGCUCGUGUUCUGAUACUAACUGUUACGAACUACACUAUUUCGCCUAAAUAUACAAUAGUCUAUGCGGCACUUGAGUGGACGCUUCCACGCAAGUCAACCAAUACUCGGUUAUAUCUAAUCCAACAUUAAUAAUAACAACAAAUCAGACUAAGAGAACUCGUAUCAAAAUCAAAAGGCAUACCGAAUGCUAUAUGUGUAACCACUGAGUUAUAAAAAGGAAAAGUGCUUUAUUAAUAUAAAAUUAAUUACAAAGAGAUCGAGAUAGGUCAUCGUCAGGCCAUAGGGACAGCCUUAUAUGAUUCACUACAAAUAUACCCUUACCAAUGAAGCAGGCUAACAAUCCGCUGAUUGUUCAUUUUCUAUAAAGAGUUUACGAGAUUUUAUAAGUAUUCUAUUAAUAAUCAUUACAAUGCUUGAAGUAAGGAUAUUUCUUUUCUAAAAGAUCUCCUUUCUAAAAAUUUGACAAGUAUUUGUGAAAGUAUCACCACGAGCCAUUACAUUGUUUGAAAGAGGAACAUUUCCCUUAGAGGUAUAAAAGACUCAAGCUCCAAGAUAAUUCUACGCUAUCAUAAUCCGAUACAAGGUUGGCUCAUGACACAAUGGCCAGCUCGUUCAUCCUUGUUAUAGCCGUUAGUGCACAGAAAAAGUUUUCUGUGAUUUGCAAUCCUGUUUUGUUGGUUUUAUUUUUCCUAGGCUAGAACUGUGGGAGUGAUUUUGUGAUGAGUAUAAAUAUCAUUUGUAACAGUUGUUGCAAUUGAUUUUUUCCCUGAUCAAUGAAAAGUAUAUUUCCUUUCUCUCCCGCAUGACUCUGUUUUCUUCUUCUUCAUUUUAGCCUUCUUUGCAGAAAUACUUUUAAGUUUCUUAAAAUCCUUUCAGGAACAAAGCAAAUGAAAGGUGCAAAUUACUGUGUUUUGUGGAUUUGGUGUUUAUCAAUCACCAAAUGAAGAUUAUUUUUAGCUCACUUCCAUGGUCUCUUGCUGGCCUGGAGAUACGGUAUACUCAGGUUUAAAGCAAAGGAAAUUGUGUGUUGGUUAUGUUGAUGUUUGGUGCCUGAUCUUUGCAAUGAGGAAGCUGAAAUUACAUUGAAUCUGGUUGCUUGGGAUAUUUGUUUUACUACAGGUCUUAUGCGAUGGUCAUUGGGAUUAAUAUGUUUCAAGCUACUGGUUUUUCUUAUCCACUUUUUGAUGGCUAUAAAUUAAGUCUUCUCAAAAGCUGACUUGAUAAGAGUACUUCCAUCCAGUCAUGCACGACCAACUUAUUGCAGUGGUCCUAUGAUUUAAUCAACUGGAUUGCCAUUAAGGUUACUAUUUUCAAGCCAUAAGUUUUUUCUGCAACGUGCUUUGCAGUUCUCAUGUGUCUAUUUAUUAUUUGCUCCAUUGACAACUCUUCAUUAUCCUUUUUUGAUCAAAAAAUUUAAAUUUUAUUUUUUAAAUUAAAAAUGUAUAUAUAUAUAUAUAUAUAAAUUAUUUAUAUAUUUCCUUCUACUUUCUCAUUGCCACAAUUGGACUAUAAGCAGCAAGAAAUUUUCAUUUUGGCCCAAUAGGAGCAAGAACUGAAAAAUACAUGUUCUUGAUUUUCUGCAAAAUACGAUUUGAAUCAUGCAAGCAUAAGUGUUGAAAGUGUAGAAAGUUCUAACCCUAACAAUACGGAAGUGUAGAAAGUUUACGGUUGAUUUAAGUCUCAUAUAAUAAACAAAUUGCAAGUCUACGUCGCAAUCUGAUCCAUUAUUUUUUAUAGGGCUUUUUGUGGUUAGAAAUCUACAAAUAUAAAGAAAAAAAAUUGUAAAAUUGCCAAUAAAACUAAUUGAUGUAUCGAUUUAGAUAAGAUAAUUUUGAGUAUAGAAAUGCUUUUCGGUAAAAGUUGUAGUCUAUAAACUUAAACAAAUAUUAAAUCAGAGUGCAGGAACAAUUAGAAUACUAAUUCCACAUAAUAGCACCUAUAAAUGUGAAAUUGUAGAUCCAAGAAUUUUUCAACUAAUUUCUUUGUAUUCAGUCAAGGGUUUUUUUUCGUCUAAUUCUUGUUGCUGGUGAAAUUGUAGACACAUCCCUCUCAUUUACCCUCAUGCAUCCAGUCAUGUCAAUUGCUGGUAAAAAAUAAUUGUAGCGAGUUGUGCACGGUGAAGUUAUUGCAGUUGGCCAUGUGACCCUUCAAAUCGACAAGCUACUAGUUUUUCUUGUAACGUGCUUUCCAAUUCCCUUCUAGUCAUCAUUACUCAAUUGACUAUCUUUUGGAUUCACACGUCCAAUUUGAAUAUGCAGGACAUUCCUUGACUUUUGAUUGCUUUUCCAUAUUAAUUGACAAAUGAUACUUGAAUAACAUAUUCCAAUGACCCAAGAUAUGGGACUUCCUAGUUGUCAAUUGCGAUGUCCAAAAUUGAAGACCCUGAAACUAGUGCACUGUCCUGGCGGAUUCAGAUCACUACUAACUUCCCAAUUCCAUGAUUAAGAUCACAACUAUGCAAAAUUGAAUCUGGCUGGUCCCAUUGGGCUUCCUCUUUUAAAACCUAAGUUUGAUUCCAGUCCUACUUAUAAAUAAUGUUAAGAGAUUUAAUUUUAAUGAAUAAUAUUUAAAUUAAAUCAUAAUUUUAAUAUAAUAUAAUUUACAUCUAAAUUUAGAUAUAUAUAAUAAAACUUAAGAGUUCAAAUCAAAUUACACUCUUUUAUCUGACCUACUCAACUGUUUAUAAAUUAAUAUAAAUAAUAUUUUUUACCGAUCCCACUUUAUAUAUAAAUUAAUAAUCUACUUAUAGAUCAAAAUUUUAUACACACAUAUAUAUAUGACUCAAUUAGGAAGUUUUAAUAAAAUAUGACUCUAAUGUUACUUGUUUCGUCUUGAAAUUGAUAUCUUAUUGACUUUAUCUCUAAUUUUUCUUAGUGCAUUACAAAGGUCUGGUGUAGUGUUCUCGUAUGGUAAGAGAAAAUUAUGCAAUGUGAUGGUUGCUUGAGUGCAUCUUUGCACGAGACAAGCUCUAGUAUAGAACUAUCAUCUUCAACUUCAUUUUCUUUAUUAUUUCUCAUGUCGUUCUCAAUAAUUUGCUUGUCACUCAACAACUUUGAAGGUGGCUCAUUUUCUCCUUGGUAGUUUAAAAGGUACUCAAUAUCUAUUUUAUCACAAUACUUCAACUAUUUGAUUAGAACAUGUAAUUGUUAAAUUUGUCUAUCAUGUGAGCGUUGAUCCAAAUUUUUUGAAGUCACGUUAUCCAUACACCUAAUUUUACAAUGUUGAAAACAAUUUGCAAUUGUACCAUUUGUUGACCAAGCUGAGAUUGCAAGAUUCAUUAUAUCCAAAACAUUUAUCUUUUUUGGAUUUGAGAUUUCAAUUUCAUAACCCUCUAAAAGAUUUCGAUAAAAUUGAAGAUGAUAAUGCAUCUCGAUAGAAUAAUAAUAAUUUGUAAUUCGAUAAUAUUCGUAUAAUCACAAUACAGAGUACAUGUAUUAAGUUUAAUGUUUUGAGGAAAAAAAAAAGAUAUCUAGAUAAAUUAAUUUUUUAUUAAUUAAUGUAUAAAUUAAUAAAUUAUUAAUUUAUUAAUUCAAUAAUAUCUUAAUUAAUUAAUAAAUUUUCAUGAUUCCAAAGGUAUUAAUUUAUAGAGAUUUUAUUAUUGUAUUUUAAGCAAGUGUUAGAUUCCUUUGUUUAACAUAUAGAUUAAUAAAAGAAGGAAAGCAAAGAUUGGAUAUCAAGCUUAUAUUGACAAUAUUCCUUUUUACUUUCUCAUUGCCAUAAUUGAACUAUAAGCAGCAAGAAUUUUUCAUUUUGGCCCAUAAGGAGCAAGAACUGAAAAAUACAUGUUCUUGUUUAUUGCAAAAUACGAUUUGAAUCAUGCAAGCUAGUAAUGAACAACCACUAGUUUCGGGCCUAAAGAAACCCAGAAUAGGCUAAUCAAAUAUUAUGCAAGAUAAAUAAUCAAUUGUAGUUCCGUCAGUGGAGCUAUUAAUUAUGCCAGCGAUCGCCACAUCACACUGAAUUUUUACUUGUUGAUGUUCCAUAACAGUGUAGGCAAUCUUCCAUAAGAAUCUGCUAGGACCUCUCAAUCUCUCUGAUCUGGUUUCUCCUAAAACAGAAUGUGUUGCUUGGCACCACUGUACAUGUUGAAGCUGCCUUUAUAAAUUAUGAUAGCAGAGGGGAAAAUUACGACAACCGACCCAUAGGCAGGUCUAAUACUGUGUUCAUAGAAAGCAAAAGCACGAAGUAGGUUGACUGUUUUGGUUCCUAUUUGACGUCACAUAUUCAAAUCCAAUCCCUUUCACACAGUUUUUUCUCUGAUCCUUAGCUCACGUUACCCCCUUUUCUCAAGGUUUUUAAGUUCUAACCCUAACAAUACACUAGAAGUGUAGAAAGUUUGUGGUUGACAUGAGUCUCAUAUAAUAAACAAAUUCUACCGUUCAACCCAAAUUGCAAGUUUACAUCGCAAUCUGGUCUUUUGGUCUUUUGUUUUCAAUAGGACAUUUUGUCGUUAGAAAUGAUCUACCGUCCAACCCAAAGUAUAGGUUUACAUUGCAGUCUUGUCCAUUGUUUUCAAUAGGGUAUUUUGUGAUUAGAAAUCAACCGAUAUAAAGAAAAGACAUGUAAAAUACUGUUAUCUAUAUACAGCAAGAAGGAUUACUAUGAGAUAUUUAUAAAAGAGAGAUAGCCGUUGAUUCACUCUACGCUAAUUUUUAUUUAAUAAAUUAAUAAAAUAAUAAAAAUGAAUAUAAAAUAAGAUAAUAAUAAAAGCACAUAAAAAAUAGUAUCUACAGCCUCUUCCUUCAAUCAUCUCUCUCCAUCUGCCAAAAUUUCUUUCUCUGUUUGAGAUGGAUAUCAAGUCCAUCCUUCAUGAACACCACUUGCUCUGUGAUGAAUAUGAUGAAUCACGGGGACUUUGUGAUAUGUGCAAUCAGGAAAUUUGUGGUAUGGCUUAUUGUUGUGAAAGAUGCGAGUUUUCAUUGCAUGAUUCUUGCGUUCAUCAACAGCUACCUCCUCAGAUAAGUGCACAUCCUUGCCAUCCCCAACACAAUCUUUCUCUCGUAGGGUCAAAUCACAUGGAUUACAUAUGUGAUAAAUGUUUCAAUCUUUCUCGAGGCUAUAGAUAUCAUUGCAAAGAGUGUCAUUUUAGCCUUGGGUAUCAAUGUGCUUUUUCAACUAAUGAUGAGAAAAAUAGACUCAAUGGCGAGACAUUUAAAAAAAUUGGUGGUUUUACCCUCUUUAAUUAUAGGAGAGUGAGAAAGUAUGAGUAUAUAUGUAGUUGGUGUGAGAACCAUUUGUCUGGAAUGUCUUAUGCUUGUUUUGACAAUGGUGCUUAUACCUGCUUCCACGAUUCCUGCUUAAUCAAAUUGCCUCCCAUAAUAUUCAAACACUCAUUUCAUCCAUCACACCCUCUUCAAUUAUGCAACAGUCACUUUGAUAAUGGGUUGUGCAAUGCUUGCAACCUACCAAUAUGGGAGUUCAGAAAAGCCUACUGUUGUAGAAAAUGUAAAUUUCACCUUCAUGUUCGUUGUGCUAAACUACGACCCAGUCUCAAGGUUGAAUUACAUGAGCAUGAUCUUACCUUUUUUCGAAUAAAAGCUAAUAGCGCAACCCACCUAUGCAGGGUAUGUGGUUUUAAUUUUGAUGCUAUAGGGGACGAAAGUGCUUUUUAUCGUUGUGUCCAUUGUAAUUUCAAUUACCAUUUCAAAUGUCUUACAAUACCACAUUCUACUUCGCACAAGUAUCAUAGGCAUGAUCUGAUGCUUAUGGAUUCAUUUAUAGAAGAUGUUUCUGAAGAAUAUUAUUGUGAUAUAUGUGAAGAAGAAAGAAAACCCAAGCACAGUGUUUAUUGUUGCAAGAAAUGCAAAUUUAUUGCUCACAUCGAAUGUGCACUCAAUAAGGUAAGGAGACAUUUACUCUCUCUCUGAAGAAAUUUAAUAAAUGUUUUUUUCAUUAGAUAAACUAUUAAUUAUUUGAUCAUAGGUCACAUAUAAUGUGCCCCUUAGAAAAUUUUGAUGCUAAUAUUUUUACUUCCCUAGGUUGUGGAUACGAAACUUGAUCAAAGUUCGACCUCUAGUCUGUUGGAUAGUGAAGCUUCAACAUUGAAGGUGAUGGAAUUGGAUCUUUUAUAUUGAUAUUAUUAUGAUGUUUUCACUUGCCAAUAAUUUGUUUUUUUGAAGUUUACAUCGCUUAAGGUCUUCUAUUCCUUGGAUUUAUAUAUUAUAAAGAUUGUUUAGUAAUAAACACCAUUUACAUUUUUGAAUAAAAUUCAAUGAAAAAAAACUAAAAAAUGUAAAUAAUAUAAGUAAAAAACCUCUACUUAUGUAGCAGUAUUCAAAAUUGAUUUGGAGACGGCUUUAGUCAAAAUAUUGAAUGUUGAAUAAAUUAAAAACACUUACGUGCAUCAUGUUAAUUUAUGAACAUAUAUAUUUGAUUAUUUAAUUAUUGCUUCUAUAUUUUAGUUUUAUCUUAAAUUUUCAUUUCUUGUACUUUUUAAACAAAAAUAAAGAGUAAAUUUUACUAUUAAUCUUGACCUAUUUGUAAUUUUUUGUUUUCAUUCAUCCAUUUUGAAUUUAUUUCAAAUCCAUUUGUAUAUUAACAUGCCAAUAAAAUAUAGAUGGAAUUUGUCACGUAAAUUUCACAUAUUAUGUGAAUUAUGUGAAUGUAGUCACAUGGACGUAACUGUAGUACUUAGAUGGCAAUUCCGUUCCAUAUUUAAUAGUGUAUUGAUGGAUAGAUGAAAUUAAAAUAAUUUCAAAAAGACAUAAAUGGAAAAAUUCGAGUUUGUUUAGUCAUGGAUGAAAAUAAAAUUAUGACAAUGUUAUAAACUAAGGAUGCACUUUACCUAAAAAAUGGAGGAAGAUUAAUAACUUUCUUCACUCAACUUGGUCGUGCAGGUGCAGAUUGAACAUUUUGAUCAUCAACAUCCCUUAAGCUAUAAUGGGGCAAUUGAACAGAAUGAAAGUCUUCUUUGCAUUGCUUGCCGCCAAGAAAUUUUUGAUCAACACUAUGCUUGUGAAGAUUGUAAAUACUACUUACAUGAAACGUGCACUACAUUGUUGUAUGAGGUGUCACACCCUCUUCAUUGCCAGCAUCCUCUCAAGCUUGUCACGGAUAUAGUUGAAUUCACAUGUCAUGGAUGUAGGGAACAUUCUGAUGGGUUUGCUUACAUGUGCCUUCCAUGUGAUUUCCACCUUGAUGUGAAAUGUGCUACCACUCCAAUCCCACCUAAAAAUGAUGGGCAAAAGCUGAAAGAGAUGGAGAAAGUUUCCAAGUUUUGCCCUUUCAACCAAAAUCAUAAGCUAGACUUCUUCAACCGUAGACCCAAUCUUAAAGAUUUGGCUUUGGAAUGCGAUGCUUGCAAGUUACCAAUCUUGGGUCCAGGUUAUACAUGUCGUGAUUGUUUCAAUAUCAAAAUUCAUGAAUCUUGUCUUGCAUUUAUUCGGGAGAUGCAACACACAUUUCAUCCGUUACACCCGCUUCAUCCACAAAUCGGCGAUUGGGAAAAUUGUUCUGCCUGUAGAUUUAAAAUCAUUGAAAGUAUCGGUUAUAGUUGUCGGCAGUGUGAUUUCCACCUUCAUCUUCAUUGUGCUAAUUCCCUGAAGCUGGCCUUAAAAGUUAAGUCUCACAUGCAUAAUCUUUAUUAUUUUGGACCAAAUUAUGAGAAAUCUUACCAAUUAUGUAACAAAUGCAAAAGUUACAUUGGUAAGGAACCUUUCUACUAUUGCGUGGAGUGCAAUAUGAAUUUGCACUUAAAAUGUGUUCCCAUACCAUGUUCAAUUAAAUCCAAAUGUCACAUGCAUCGUUUGACUCUUAAAGAUCAUUUUGUGGAAGAUGAUUCUGGAGAAUACUAUUGCGACAUCUGCGAAGAAGAAAGGAACUCAAAAAAUCAUUGCUAUUAUUGUGAAGAGUGUGCUGGACAAUUUGUUGCUCACAUCGAGUGCGCGCUUCUUAUAGUAAGUUUAUCACUAUCAUUUUCUCUGUAGAAUUUUUCUAUAUCAUAUUAUUGAAUUUUCUAAAGGAAAAUAAGAAUCUAAAUUACACAUCACAUGAUCGUAUCCACCAUCUCUUUGAUUGAUUGGACUUUAUUAAUGGUUAAAGUACCUCAUAGGUCCAUAUACUAUAGAUUUUUCGUUCAACUAAUCUUUUUUCCCAAAAUUGGUUAAUUUAAUCUCUGUACUUUGAGAUUUUAUGUAAUGGAGUCAUUUUACUUAACUUCAUCCAAAUUAACCAUUAGUGGUACUGGUGACGCACUGACAUGUCAGAUAAAAAAAAAUUGACCAUGUGGCAUUUUUUUCUUUCCUCCUUUUUCUUUGCUCAUAUGUUCAAAACUACAUUGUUUUAGAGUACUAUUUAAAGCGGAUUUAGUUUUUUAUUUUUCAUUUUCCUUUUUAUCCUUCUCUUUAGCUUUCUUCUCUCCCUAGAUUUCGACCCCUAAAUGCAAAUUCUGGCUAUCGAUCACUAGUAAUAUGAAAAUCUAAUAAAAAAUAAAAAAAUUAGUUUUUUGGCCUUAUUUCCCAUAAUUAGGAUAGCUUUUUCAAAAUCUAUCUCGAUUUUUCUAGAUCUAAAAUCAUAAACUUGUAAAAAAGAAGCUUGUUUCUUUCCAUUGCUGUGUCCUCAACUUGAUGUUAAUGAUCAAGGGUUGUGUUUUUCAUGUUGUAGGAUUUUGAAUUCGGAGAUGGAAAUUUUCAUGAAUUUUCCAUCUUGAAAGAUGCUGGCUCACCUAUUGAGAGUUCCUCUAUGGAUAAGUUGCUUUCCCAACCCCAUGCUGAAGUUUACUUGAACCAAAACAGAAUGGUAGUUAAGUCCUAUAUAAGUUAUUUUAAAGAUCUCAUCUUUUAUGCGAAAAUGAAUUUUAUUUUACGAAUAGUUGAAUGAAAGAAAAGUUUCACGAUUUUGUGGGUGCCAUUGUCGUUGCAGAAGUAUUGGGUGAAUGAGAAGUUAAACAAAUACUGCUUCAUGUUGUUUGCAAGAGAUCUUUCAAUCAGUUGGGUAGAAGAGCACCGUUAUUGGCGUUGGUCAUACCAAAAAGAAACAAACAGGUUAGCGUAGAUUUAUUAUCCAUUGAGAAUCCUUACUUCAUAGUUCUAGCUUGACAGCUUUCUUAAUCCACAAACUUUUGAUUUUGUAGCGAUGUGUUGAUUGAUGUUGUCGAACUUCUAAAGGUGUGUUGGCUAGAAAUGAAUGUGAAAUUCAAUGUAAAAAAGCUCUCACUGGGAACUUUGUAUGGAGUUAUGUUUGUGUUUAAGUUGACAGAUGAAGCAUAUGGAUGGGGAUGUCCAGUGAACUUUGGAUUCACUCUUCCAAAUGGGGACAAGGUUGAACGCAAGGAAAAUUUGAUGACCAAGCCGAGAGGAGUAUGGAUAGAAAUCCCUGUCGGAGAAUUUACAACUUCAUCCGAAAUUGUUGGAGAAUUACAUAUUUGCUGUCACCAAUAUGAUGAAUUGAAUUGGAAAGGAGGACUUAUUGUUAAAGGAGUUGCUAUUCUACCAAAGAAUUAAGUUAUAAAUUAGUAUUUUGUCAUAAUAAAUCUGAAAGUACUGUAGUUUUUUUGUUUGUUCAUAAUCUUGCAAAUUCUAAUAUGACAUGAACUUGAAAGGAACCAACUCAUCCAAUAAUCACCUCAACACUUGAACCAGUUUUCCGGUUCUCAUUAUACAAUAUAGGUUCCAUGCUAAAUGCAACAAACAAGCUCAUUGAUUUUUUUGAUAUUUUUUAUUAGAUUUUUUGACCACCAGUGACUAGUGGUUGGCUGUCGAAAUCUGGGUUUGGGGAUCAUAAUCUAGAAUAAAUUAUUGGAUAGAGAGCGAAAAAGGAAAGAAGGAACAAUGAAAAAAAAAACUAAAUGUCCUUUAAAUAGUAGGCUUAAAAUAACUAGUUUUGGACAAAUAAGAGAAAAAAGAAAAAGAAAAACCAUGUGAUCAAUUUUAUUUUUUUAGUUGAACAUGUCAACGUUAGCAUUUUUUGACAUGUCAGCUCGUCGUUAGCACCACUAAUAAUUAAUUUGGAUGGAGUUAGAUAGAGAGAAUCAAUAGUACAAAAUCUAGGUAAGAGGGACUAAAUUAAUCAGUUUUGGAUAGACAGACUAAAUUGAUAAAAAAAAAAAUCUUUAAUAUAGGUAUCUAUGAGGUACUUUGACCAUUAAUGAAUUCCAAUCAACCAAAGAGGUGAUGGAUAUGAUCAUGUAAUGUGUAUGUGUAAUUGAGAUUCUUAUUUUCCUUCAAAAAAAUUCAAUAAUGUAGUAUAAAAGAAAUCUAUAAAGAGAAAAAAUAAUUGUUCACGCCUCAACAUUUCCUGAAACCUUUUCAGCACUUUGAAGCUUUGUCCAUUAAUUAAUCGCCUUGUUUCAAGCAUGUUCUCAUAGUAACAAAAGUCUUUACACUGUAUAGAACCUUUUGUUUCUUUUUGACCUCCUGUAAUCUUGAGCAAGGCUGAUUGUGUAUAUAGUGGAGCAUAGUUGUGUACAUAGGGAGAUGCAUGCUUAAGCUACAGGGAUGGUUUUUGUUCACUUGCCUUUUUGUAUAUUGAUUUUGCUUAAGGCAUAAAGGUAUAGAAUUUCAAAAAAAAGAUAUAAAAUUGUGGUAUUAGCAUCUUGAUAGCCACAUUUGGAAUAAAAAGGUAGCAAUUAAAAGAAGCAUUUUAUCCUUAAUGAUGAGCAAGCUUUUUUUAGCCUUUUUCAUUUUUAUAUUCUCUCAAUAAUUUCCUUCUUUAAAUAAAUAAAAACAAUGUUGACAGGGCAUGAAGCACAUGCCAUUUUCUUGUUUUUGGUAUAAAGGCCUGAGGGAAUCUUUGUUUAGGUUUUGUAUUUAAACACACUCUCUCAUCAAGAGGCUAGUAGUUGAUCAUCUCUCUUUCUUCAUCUACCUAAAUUUCUUUCUUUGUUUGUUUGAGAAAACAAAGUAGAGACUAUUCUGCUAUGGGGAUAUUCUAUACUUGUUUUCGAUAGAAAUUUAGUACCUCCUCAAGUCCUCAACUGUCUUGGUGAUGCAAAAAGGGGGUUGUAGCUAGAAAUAAACCACAAAAAAUAUGCAAGCAAGGCUGUUGAUGUGAAUGAUUUAGCUUGGUUUGGGUUAUACAAGGCGUAACGAUUCUUUGAACGUCAAAUACACUUUUCUAUAUUUAAGCUUAUUCUUCAUAAUGUGUAGGAUUGUAGGGCAUUUUAUUCAAUUAUAUUUUGGUUAGAUUGUAGAGAAAAGAAAGCUAGAGAAAAAGACAACGGAGAGAAACAUUUUUUGACAAUGAUUCAAAAUUUAAUUUCAUUAAUAAGUUAAAGAAUUAUAGCAAACUGUCAAAAAGGUCAAAAAAAACUUUUUUCUGCUUCUUUUAUUCUCUCUUGGCUAGAAGAGAUGUGCAUUCUUGAACCAGUGAUUUGCAAAUAAGUGACUACUUUUCCUGUAUACCUUUGAGUUGAAUGACCAUGUACUUAUCAAUUAUGUAUAUUUCAACAAAUUUAUGUUAAUAUUCAAGUUUCUAAUAUUUGAACGAGUGUAUAUUUGAUGCAUUAAUAGUGUCUAUAAGAUACAUUGUCAGUGCAUUAAAUAUGAAUCCUAUUUAAAUAGAUUAAGAGUACAUAGUUAAGAAUUGCAGAGAGCUUAAUUUGAGAUAAUAGCUUUUUGUAUGAAAAAAGAAAAAGAAGAUUUGGCUUUUUUUUUUUAUUUGUUUUUGUUAAUUUUAUUAUGUCAGCUUGAUUUUAUGUCAACAACCUUGUCAAUUCAUUAUGGUUAGUAAUCAACAGUUUUAAUAACAAUGCUUCCUAACAUAAAGUUUAAAGGGGAAAAUAAGAGAUUGCAAACUCAAAACCUUGAUGUCUUUUAGGCUUUUCUUGUUUCUUUGUCCUUUUGUAUUUGUUGUUUUAGUUAUAAAAUUGUGGAAGUAGCAUCUUGAUUGCCACAUUUUCGAUAAAAAAGUACCAAUUUAAAAAAACAUUUUAUCUUUAAUGAUAAGUAAGUUUUCUUUGACUUUUUUCUUUUUCUUGAAAGACAAAGACAAUAGUAUUCCAUAAAAAAGGAUAUGUGUUAAUUAAAUUAUUUGAAGGCAAGAAAUUAAGAUUAACAUCAAUAUUCGCUUCCAAAUUCUCACUAUUAUUUCUUUCUUUAAAUAAAGAAAAAAAUAAUAUUGUUUUUGAUCAUUCAUUUGAUUAAUUAAUCUGAAAUUGUCGUUGUAUUAGUAAAAUGAGUCGUAAUCACAAUAUGCAUGCGAUGUGUUUUCAUUGUACAAGUAAUUAUUGUAUAACUAAAGCAAAAAGAAAGUAAUUGCUACAUAACAUUAUUUUACUUAAAGGGAAACAUUUAAUUAAAAAAAAGUAAUCCCAAACUUAAAACAUUUUUUAAACAAAACGCUCCCCUUCUUAAACUAAAGUGAGAAUCAAUUAAGUAUGGUACAGCUUAUAGAUACAUUUAUGCCACCAGUAAUGCUUUGUUUCAGAAUUAUCUUUCCUUUUUAGAAACAAUAAAGAUGAAUUAUAUAUUAAAAAAGAGAGGGAUAAGAGUAUUCCUUUACAACCAGACAAAAAAGACCCACGACUACAUCAAAAACAGCCAAUGGGGCUUAAAAAUUUGGGUAGACCAGUACUUACCUUAGGUCCUGCCAAGUAGUAUUAAAAAGAAAAAAUUACAAAAGGUAAGAAAACCAUAACAAAAGGACCUGUACAUAAUCUUUUCCUAGAAGAAAGAUCCAAAAAAGGGUUCAAUUAAUAUCCCUUAAAAAAAAAAAAGCAGUAUAAACGAAGAAACAUCAAUGGUUCCCAUGAAAGUAGCAGCGAGCAUUAUGUUGCACAACAAAAGUAAAUAAAGCAGGGGACAGAACACCUCACACUAGGUUAAUAUUCUUUUCCGGGGCUAGCAUGCUGUCGUUGAUCCGAAACAAAUCUGAUAUCAAUCACUUUUUGUCUUUCUUAAUAUCAAUCACUUUUACAUAGAAUUUAAUUUUAAUUUUACAUUUGAAUUGUUGUGCUAGGUUAUGGUCGUAGAGGGGUCAACUUGAUGUAAGUUAAGCAACUUGGAUUUACGGCAUAAAACUCAACUAAAUUCCAACAAAGAUUAGUUCCUAACCCAUAUAGUAAAUUUGCAUAUCACCCACAUUAUAAACUAAUCAAUUACUGAAAACAUGAAAUUACCACUAGUACGUGCUUGCUAAAUCUCAUAAAUAAAUCAUCUUAAUAAGCAAUAAUUAUGUGUGCGAGGGCUAAUUAUUGUAGUUAACAUUCCAUGAAUUUUACCUCAAAAUUUGUGUUAAUAUUCUAGGUUGUGAUCAAGUCAUAUGUUCAAGUUUCUAACAUUUAAAUAGACUAGGAGUACUUCAUGAAUGAAGGGGUUUAAUUUGAAGUAAUAGCUUCAAGUAUGGAAUAAGAAAAACAAAGAUUAUGCUGUUUUUUUUUCCUUUUUUUUAAUAUUUUCUUGUCUUAGGUUGAUUUUAUGUCAACACUCUUAUUCACUAUUUGGUAAAUUUGGACACGUGUAUUUCUGCAGUAAUGUUUGUGAAAUGGUUUGGACAGCUAUUUAUUUCAGAUGUGCUGAGAGGUAGUUUAAUUAUUUUUGUUGACUGAGUUGUAUUUUCAAAGGUUGGGCGAACUUGUUAAAGAGUCCAACUGGACCUAUUUAUCCCCAAAAUUGAGCUUAAUUUUGGCAUAUGGCAUGUGGCAUGCCGCAUUGCCAAAGCUCUUCAAGGAAGAGCACAAGCAAAACCAGAGGCAAUGCGACGAGUAAAGGCCAGAUAAAUAAGAAGGCUAACCAUAAUUUAACCAAAAACAAAAAUGAAAAAAGAAAGAAAGAAAGAUAGUACACAUCAUGUCAUCACUCAUCAAUUAGACAUCCCAUCGUCACCAACCCAGGGUCCUUGGUCAACUUCAUCCACAUACGUUGUCCAGUAAAAAUCACUCAAGUGUCUCGCAUUGCUCGAAAAGGACAAAAAGACUGCCACGUGCUACCUUACGGGCAAUUGCUACUAGAGUUCUCCACCGCCCGCUUGGUGUCGCCUGUACAGCCACAACCACAGCCACCACCAUUUGCAUUUCUCCUGAUUCAGAAUUCUUAUCACAUUACUACUGUUGGAAAAGUGUUUGACAAACAACUUUCACCUGGUAAGUUGGACUCACUAUAACCUUUAUUAUGAAAUAUUUUAUACGCAUCGCUUUUGGAUUACAAAGCAUUACAAGGACGAAUUAUAAAGCAUUUUAAUUCUCAUGGUUUUUUUUUUUUUAAAGAGUGAUUUUGGGUUCAACUUUAAGAAAUUGUCUGCCACUUGUUCAUUGUUACAAAACAGGGUCGGAAGAGAAGCAGCUUCAACAUCAUCCACUUGUUCAGUCAACCAAUAAUUAGCUGCUGUUUUCAUUAACCAAUUUACAUUUGAGAAACAACAAAAACAAUGGCAAAAGCACUUCUUUCCAUGAUCCUGGAGCAGCAGUUGGGUGGUUCGUUCAUUCCUCAAGAGAUAAAGCAUCAUGUCGGAUUGGCUGUAGGUCUUGAAGAAGAAAUCCAAAAACUCACCAGCAACUUUGACGCCAUUCAAGCUGUGCUUGAAGAUGCGAAAGGAUAAACCAAACAGGGCAUGCCUAACCCAAGGCGCGGAGGAUAAGGUAUACCGAUGUGGAUGCGGCCCAUAUCCUAAGCUGUUUCCCCACAGACCCCCCAACAGUGUCCCAUAACUCUAAUCCUACAUCCACCACGGAAGAAUAACAAGACUCCCAAGGAGCGGAGGACGGCAAUGGAGGCAGCUGGCUCCGAUUCCGAUGGCAGAGAAUUCAGGAACCCACAGGAAAUGUGGAGGGAGCAAAUUGGAGAUGCAGAUGAAGGAGAUAACCAUAAGAAGACUCAGUGGUACAGUGAAGGCGUUGCCUACUGGGAAGUAAGUCUUUCUUAACUCUGGUUCUUACAUUUGUAUGUGGGUACCAUUAGCUAACUCAUAGUAUAGUUAUUGGAUUCUUUGGUUGUGCUAAGAGAAGGGUGUGGAGGCAUCGGUAGAUGGGGUGUUGGGUGGAUUUGGGCAAGUAAAUGAGGCAGAUAUUAAGGGUAGUGAGGUUUUUCUCAAUACCCUUUUGCAUGAAAGAUUCGAUGGCGGUGGAAGAAAUCACCAUCUUGUUGCUCUUGGUACUUCUCUUUCACUCUCUGUGUCCUCAACUUUAUAUUGUUUUUAUGAAGUUAUAUACCCAUAUAUGUUCUGUUGAGGUAGUUUGGUUUAUGUUAUUAUUAUUAUUUUUUUUACACUAAAAAUCAACCUUAGGUUAUUAUGCGCCAUUAAAUGUGGAAGUGCAAAGUUGGUGAUGGGAUCCUACUUCAUUAGAAUGUAGCAUUGGUGGAAAACCUAAUUAACUAUAAAUUAAACAAAAAACAUAGUGGUGACAGCAGAAAGGGAUGUUGUGAUAGAUGAAAUUUUGAGUUAAAUAUCCGCAAUUAGUGCUUGAAACCGGAAACCAAUAUAACUUGAUAACACAACCAUGAAAAGUUUAUGUCCCAUAAUCCCACCCCAUAAAAGAAAAUAAAUAAAUAAAGAAGAGAAAGGCAUGGAAAUUUGCAUGAAUAUGCAUUUUCUGAAUUAUUUUGCAUGAUAUCUUCACCAAAAAUCAGUCUUAGUAGUGCAAGAAGCAUGUCAUGCAUUAGAGGUGUUGCUUUGAUUUAGAAUGCCAGCGUUUUAGGUGUUGCUCUUAUUUAGAAUGGUAUAAUGCAAUUGAGAAUUGGGUUUACUACAUGCUAUUUUGCUUAAUAAAAAACCAUCUUUAAGCAAUAUUCUUUUUUAAAUUUGGGAAGAAGCUUGCUGGGAGUUCUCUCUGUCUCUUAAGGGUUGUGUGCUUGUGGGGGGUGGGGGAUGGGGCACCCCUGGACCCAAUUUGAGGCUGUUGUGAGUGCUCAGAAUAAAGGAAAGAAAUUUCUGUGUUUAAGAUUGAAAAAUUACUUUCACAUUUCAUCAGCAGCGAAGAUGCUCUAUCUUGCUAAUAUUCUGGAACUUGUUAUCUUUUGAAAGGCAAAAAUUAGAUAUGUCUUCAGUAUGUUUUAUUACUAGGAGAUUGAUUCUUCGACAUGAUUAGGAUCUAUAAUUGCCUAUAUAUGAAGUUGGUCUUAAUACUUGUGAGUUGGUGGACUAUACUGGGGCAAUUGGUGGACUAUACUGGGGCAAUUGACUGAAAUCUUGCGAAGGGGAAUUGUAGGGGAAAUUAUUUAGGAAACUAAGCAGUUGGAGUUUGGCUUUAAUAUAAAGAUAUUUAGGUAACUAAGCAGUAAUGGUUUGGCUUUAAUAUGAAGAUAAUUAAGUGAUUUCCACAAGUUUUAUUUUAAGUAUUAUGAUAUAAGAUGCACUUAAGCACUUGGCUUUAUGAUUUGUGCAUGUAUCCCCUGCUAAAAGAGCUGGGUUUAAAUUACCCUCCCCUAAUAAAAUAAAAUAAAACAUGAAAAUUGAUGGUUGUGCCCUCAAACUUUUGCCUUCAUAUGGUUUAUGUUGGUGGAAUUAAAACAAACUCUUUUGAUGAUCUUAGUGCAGAAGAAUCUGGUACAUUUUAGGGCUUAGCAUACUAAAUUAAACUAUGUCAUAAUUCUCAAAACACUGCAAUGCUGACCUUUAUUUCAAGUCCAUACAUUGAAGCACUAGAAAUACCUGCAAAUGGUUCUAAAGCAUACUUAAAAUAUUGCUGCAGUACUGAUCUGUUUGGUAUUUCAUUUUUCUUGAUGUUUUUAAUUCUAAUUGAAAAUCAUAAAUCUAGUUGACAUUCUGAGCUCUUAGUUUCUAUGUUAAUUUAACAUACUGCAGAUUGUGGUUCUGGCAUAGGGAGAAUAACCAAGAAUCUUCUCAUAAGAUAUUUUAACGAGGUAAGGUCAUUUUUCUCUUUCUAUUAGCAUAUUUUUAAUAUUUCUGACAUUUACCAUCUUUGCAGUUAAUUGAUAACAUGGUUCAUAGUGCAUAAUUCUUACUACCUAAAGAAUUUCUCUGUUGUAUUUGAAUGAAAAGCAAAAUUGGGUAGUGCCUUUUAAAAAAUUCAUGCAGGACAUGAGGAGGGUACCCGUUAAUUUCAAGGUACCUAAACCUUAACCCUAUAAAAAAUCAAAUAUCUAAACUCUAUUAAUUACCUGAAUAAUUUUGAAAGUUACUACCCUAACCUUAACCUUAACCUUAAUACAUUCCCACUACCCUAUAAUUACCCUAACUCGUUUAAAAACCCGAUUAGAUAAAAAAUUUAUUAAAAUGUUCUUCAUUGGUACCCAAUUACUCAAACCCGAACCUGUAUUCAUAUACAAUAAUAUUUCUUCUACAUAGUACAUAUAAUUAACUACUAAUUAAAUUAAUAAAAACACAAAUAAUAAAAUUUAAAUUUAAAUAAUCAAAAACUAUAAAUUGUUUAUAAAUGAACAUAAUAUAUAAUAUAAAUCAAUAUUAUGUUAUUGUUUAAUAGUUAUUAACUUAUAUAAUAGUAAUGAUAUUCUUUAUAAAUGAAUAUAAUAAAUAAUAUAAAGUAUAUGUAUUAAAAGAUAUUACAAGUUAUAUACUAUAAAGUGUGUAUAUAUAUAUUAUAAUUAAUAAUUUUAUAAGUUAUAAUUUUUAUAAUGUUAACAAAAUAUAAAAAGUAAAUACAUUUAUUUUUAAAGUAUAUAUAUAUAUAUAUUAAAAGUAUUUUAGUGUAUAUAUAUAAUAGUGAUUAUAUUCUUUAUAAAUGAAUUCAAUAUAUAUAAAGUAUAGAUAUUAAAGACAUUACAAGUUAAUUAAUAAUCAUAGUUUCAUUAAUUAAUUUAAUUAAUUAUAUGAGUUUGUCCUUUACUACAAGAAAUUAAAAAAAAUAGUUAAGUUUCAAAACUAUUCUAAUCUCACAACUUCUUUUUAGAUAAUUAAGUUUAUAUAUAUCAAAGUAUCUAUAUUAUAAUUAAUAAUUUGUAAGUUAUAAUUUUUGUAAUGUUAACACAAAAUAGAAAGUAAAUAUGGUUAUAUUUAAAGUGUGUAUAUAUAUACACACACACACUAAAAGUGUUUUAUUAUAUGUAUAAUAAUAAUUAUAUUUUUUAUAAAUGAAUCCAAUAUAUAUAAAGUAAAUAUAUUAAAAGAAAUUACAAGGUAAUUAAUAAUCAUAGUUUUAUGAAUUAAUUUAAUUAAUUAUAUGAGUUUAUCCUUAAUUAUAUGAAAUUAAAAAAAAUAACUAGGUUUCAAAACUAUUCUAAUCUCACAACUUCUCUUAAGCUUUGCAUAUUAUAAGUUUAUAUAAACAAAAGUGUAUAUAUUAUAAUUAAUAAUUUUAUAUGUUAUAAUUUUUUUUAAUUUUAAUACAAAAUAGAAAGUAAAUAUAUUUAUAUUUAAAGUAUAUAUAUACUAAAAGUAUUAGUAUAUAUAUAAUACAGUAAUUAUAUUUCUUAUAAAUGAACUCAAUAUAUAUAAUGUAUAUAUUAAAAAACAUUUCAAGUUAAUUAAUAAUUAUAGUUUAAUAAAUUAAUUUAAUUAACUAUAUAGUUUUGUCUUUAAUUAUAUGAAAUUAAAAAAAAUAGUUAGAUUCCAAAACUAUUCUAAUCUCAAAGACUCUCUUUAAGUAUAUAUAUUAUGAGUUAUAAUUUUUGUAAUAUUAAUACAAAGUAAAAAGUAACUAUAUUUAUAUUAGAAGUAUAUAUAUAAUAGUAAUUAUAUUCUUUUGUAAUAUGAUAUGAUAUUCAUAUUAUUUAAACAUAAUUAAUAAUCUAAUAAUUUUUUAAUUGAAAUAUUUUAAUGUAAUCACAUUAAUAAUUUGAGUAACCAGACUUUUUAAUAUAUUUGUCAGCUUUUAAUAAAUAUAUUAAUGUUGAUUAUUUUUAAUUUAAUCAUUUAAAUAACAACAAAAUAUAUAUAAACAGGUAUUGGGAUCGAGUUCGAGGUGGGUACCCGUGUAACUUGAAUAGUAACAUAAUCGGGUUCAGGUAGCGGGUACCCAAGAGGUACUACCCCGAACCUGAUAUGGGUAGUGAAAUCACUAUCCGAACCCGUCCUAAACUUGAUUAUAGGGUAUCUUAAUCCGAUAUAACCNUAUAUAACAGUAAUUAUAUUUCUUAUAAAUGAACUCAAUAUAUAUAAUGUAUAAAUAUUUAAAAACAUUCCAAGUUAAUUAAUAAUUAUAGUUUUAUGAAUUAAUUUAAUUAACAAUAUUGGUUUGUUUUUAAUUAUAUGAAAUUAAAAAAAAUAAGUUGACAAACUACUUUAAUCUCACAAUCUCCUUUUAGGUAUAUAUAUUAUUAUGAGGUUAUAAUUUUUGUAAUGUUAACAUAAAAUUGAAAGUAAAUAUGUUUAUAUUUGAAGUAUAUAUAUAAUAGUAAUUAUAUUCUUUUUAAUAUGAUAUGAUAUUCAUAUUGUUUAAACAUAAUUAAUAAUCUAAUAAUUUUUAAUUUAAAUAUAUUAAUAACAUCACAUUAAUAAUUUGACUAACCAUAUUUUUAAUAUAUUUGUCAGCUUUUAAUAAAUAUAUUAAUGUUGAUUUUUUUAAUUUAAUCAUUUAAAUAACAACAAAAUAUAUAUAAACAGGUAUUGGGAUCGAGUUCGAGGUGGGUACCCGUGUAACUUGAAUAGUAACAUAAUCGGGUUCAGGUAGCGGGUACCCAAGAGGUACUACCCCGAACCUGAUAUGGGUAGUGAAAUCACUAUCCGAACCCGUCCUAAACUUGAUUAUAGGGUAUCUUAAUCCGAUAUAACCGGGUUGGAUACCUGUGGGUAUCUUAUAAUAGGGUAUGCAUUGCCAUCCCUACACAUUAAUAUGUAAUUCCAAUACAGUGAACAUGAUGUGGAACAUGGUGGACUUUUUCUUUUUCCUCUCUUUUUCUUUCAUCGAAUGAUAUGAAUCAGUGACAUAGUAUUAGUUGGAGCUACUAUCUUAAUAAAGCUGCAUAGUACUUUGUGAUAGCUAUGCUUUUGGACCCCUCUUCCCUUUACCAUUCUCCAGGUUGAUCUACUUGAGCCAGUUUCGCAUUUCUUAGAUGCUGCCCGUGAAAGUUUGUCUCAGGAAUAUUUUGUAGCCUCUGAUGCGCACAAAGCAAAUAAUUCUACUGUGUCUCCCUUCAGGUCAUGUACUUCAAGACUACAUUCACACAUGGAUACAUGCUUCUUGAUGUCUUGAAGUAUUCAUAACUAUGGUUAAGUCCAUGUAAGCUAUGUAUUUCCAACUUUUCACGUUUCCCUAUAUUGCGGAUGUAGCCAUGUAAUUUGCACCUCAAGCAGGCAUGUUGUUUGAGUACAAUCCUGGGAAAAACUUACAGAAGUUAAGGUAAACAUGUUAAAUAUGGGUUUGCAUCUGGAACUCACAUUUGAAUCUGGGCAACAUAGUCUGUACUCUGUAGGCGGCUGGAUUCAAGUAAAUUUUUGCAAACAAUUAUUUACUCUUUUGUGUGUGUUGGGGUGGGGGGGGUAGGGGACAGCAUAUGGGCUAGUGAAUGAGCCCUUUAAGUUGGUGAUAUAUGUGCUUGUCUUCUUCUGAUGCUUCUGGCUGUUAAAUUUUACUUUAUAAAACAGAAAUUUGACGACCAUUUUUUUUUUGUCUUUUGCUUUUUCAGGAGUUCACCCCUGAUGCUGGAAGGUACAAUGUUAUUUGGAUUCAGUGGUGCAUUGGUCAUCUCACAGAUGAUGACUUUGUCUCAUUUUUUAAGAGAGCAAAGGUGAAUAAAUCUUCUUCUUGAGACAGAACUUACUUUUUAUUUGACAUGUUGUGCUGUGUGGAAGUGCAUGGAAAGAUCAAAAUUAUGUGUUGAAAUUUUCUUGCCUGCUGUCUACUAUACAUUCGAAGUGCCUUGUUCUGAUUUUUGAAUUAUGAACUGUCAGAUCAUUGCAAUGGUAUCUCAAAUUUUCCUUUUCCAAAUUUAUUGCUUCUAGCUUUCUCUCUUGUAACUUCUUUUAAACCUUCUCACAGCUAUAGGAAUUAAGGUUGUCUAGCGAACAUAACAUAGCAAACACCGGAAGGAUGAUAUCGUCAAACUCUUUUUUCUUUUUGUCCUUUCUUUUUGCAAUGUGUCGUGUUGUUCAUUCUAUUCUUCUUCCUGCUAGGUAACUAGCGGAUUUGAUGGGUUAGUUUGGAGUGUUUGGGCCCAUCCCUAGCACCACAGAAACAAGGCUGGAUAAUACUUUAUAAUUCAUACAGCUAUUUUGCUAUCAUCCGUUUUCUCACCUUACCAAAGCUUGUGACCAAAAUUUUGUUGUGCCUUGUGCAUUGAAAUAAGUUUUAAGAAAUGAUGGUAGUUUGACUUUUGUCCUUUAAGUUUGUAAAUGGUGGGAAAUAAAAUUAAAUCCAGAAAGUGCCAUAUUCAUUUCAUGCCACCUUGAGUCCCUACUCUCCUGCUUCCCUUGCUGCAACCUUUUCUUUUUUUCCAGGUACUGUUGAGCAUAACUUUUUGCUCUGCCUUCAAUGUAUUUUCAUCAAAAUUAAGCAAAACAUAUUAAUAAUAAAAAGCUCCAACAUGGAAAUUCUUGGGCAUGUGUAUGUGUAUGUAAUUUGGAGGCCUGAUCUCUAAGUUGUGUCCUGGAAAGACCCUUGUUGAAAUUUAUUAUUCUUGCAUAUAUGAUUUAAAAGAUUUUAAUUUGUUCAAGUUUUGUUUAAGGCAUUCCUCAAACUUUCUUAUGUUUUGGUAUUCUGUGGUAAAUUUUCAUAAAGUUGUGUUUUUCUUUUUUGAAAUGCCGCAUGUCAUCUCACGUAUGAGAAGACAUAAAGUUGCUUUUUUGAGCUGAUAUUACUUUUUAACUUUGUCUUAUUAUGUAAUUAUCUGCCCUCUACAACUUUGAAGUAACAUCAUAAUUAAUAAUAAUUAAAAGAUAAAUGGAUAAAGGAAUUUUUAAGCUCCAUUUUCUCGUUCCAUUGCUUGAUACCAAGGGAAGCAGCAAGUUUUUGUUUUAUGCAUUCCUGAAACUUUCUUAUUUUUUGGUAUCCUGCUGCAAAAUUUUCAUAAAGUUGCUUUCUAGAGCUGAUAUUACUGUUUAACUUUGUUUUAUUAUGUAUUCAUCUGCCCGCUACUGCUUUGAAGUAUACUAGUUAAUGUCUUAAAUGUUUAAUUAAGGAUAAAUGGGUAAAGGAAUAUUUAAUCUCCAUUGUCUUGUUUCAUUGCUUGAUACCAAGGGAAACAGCCAAAAAGUGUUGAAACUUAUAAUUCGCAGGUUCAGGGAUGAGUUUCAUCUACUCAAAUGGGUAUGGGGUAUAAUUUUAUUAUGCUACCAAUUUGGGACACCUUUUGGUAACACUGUCUAUGUACAACUUUCUUCAGUGAAAAUUCAUGAAGGAAAGUUGACCUAGUGAUGUAGUGCGGAUGUAGAAACAAUAACAAGAAGUCAACUGCUCAUUAGUCUCUUUCAAACCAACCCUAGGGAAAGGUCGUUGAAAGCUGACGUGUACUCCUCAAUGGACAUACUAUUUUGCUUGAGUGAAUGAAAUUUCUCAUUCAACUCCAUUUAAUCAGCAGGCAAAAAUUGCCUUCUCAUCUUCAUUUUCAUGUGUUCCCAAGUGUUGAUUUUUGGCUUGCCUUGAUGUGCUUGCCGCUCUUCAACUCUCUUCUACCAUUGAAGUGCAGCCCCUUCAACUUAAGCUUCACAAACAGCACCUUUCUUUGUUCUGCCAUUGGUUUCUACUAAAAAUAAUUUUCGAAACUAUCUUUCUGAUCUGAAUAAUCUUUUGCAUGCUUCAUUUUCCGGAAGUCAUCUACCUUAAUUCUAACUCCACCACCAUUCAAGUCUAGGCAUGUAACAAUCAGCCUUCCAAUCUACCACAAACAGCAUUAUUUGCUGGUCGAGCAUUAUGAAAGGGGUUUUCAUCCUCUCCAUAUUCAAUUUCAUCCACAAGACCACCUACCGGUAAACCGAAAGGGUCUGUAUUGCCUUGUGGAUUCUCCAUACAGGCUCCCAUUGGUUCCUGUCACUUUAAAUCUUGCACAGCCUGCAACAAAUCUUCAAUCAUACCCUUCAACUCAGCCAGUUCUGUUUGCUGGUCUUGAUUUCUUUUCCACAUCCGCUAACAAGUCCUCUACCACGAUUAGCCAUGGUUUAUAAGCUAAAAUCCUAGUUCAACUUUAAGAUCUCUUCAUCUGAUACCACUUUGAUGUAGUAUGGAAGUAGAAACAGCAAAAACAAAAGAAAAACAAUGACGAAAACCAGAACAAAGGCUAAAAUUGAUCUUAAGAUCAAAGUAGGAACAAGUUACAGCAGCUUUUAAUUGUAGCCCUUCGAUACAAACAACCCCAUCUAAUCUUAGCCAUUCAAACUAAUUAAAAAUGAUCACAUGCUAAUCACGACACAUGACUAGAUAGAAAACAUAAUUACUAACUUUUAACUAAAGUAAAACAUAAUAAGAUAACCAAUUGGAGAUAAAUUUAAGAAUGCUCUUGCAUAGCCUAGCCCAACAAUUAAACUUGCCUAAGGCUUGACUUAACCUAGUACUCAAGUCUCAUAAUUUGCUUGCAUUCAACUCACAAAAUACUUGGAUUCGAUCAGUUUAUUGUUGAGUUAUUCUUGAGCUCUAGUGACCAAUGGAGUCUAGUUCAAGUGUUUAUAUUACUCAGUCAAGAUAGUUCAAGAGUGUAAUCAACUUUUAAUUUUUUGAUAUAUUUUAAAAUUUCAUGUAUGUAAUACUCGUAUAAAACUAAAUAAUACAAAGCUCAAUCAAGCCAGCUUGGAGGUCUCAGACAUAUGUACCCUCCCAAAAAAUGUUCAAGUUGAGCUUCAGGUCUUAGUUUUGUAAUUGAGUCGUGUCAUGUUCAAGCUUGUCAUUUUGUCAACUUGAUUUGGGUCAGUUAUGCAUCUAGACUUUAACCAACUCAAACUGACUAAAAAGGUUACUGAAUCAAUAGUUGAGACAGGGAGAAUUCAAAAACAAAGUAAUCUGGAAUUCUAAAUAUCCAAACUUAACAACCUAAACACCUUUAAAUGACAAGUGGGCAGUUAUACCCCUUUUGCAGUAAAUGCAUAAUUUCACUUGACUUGUCUUGCAUGUGGGGAACUUGUCAGUGGAGUUGUUCAGUGGCAACAUGAGUUUCACUGAGCUAUCACUUGUUUGCAGGAUUUGUUUUGGAUAAAGAAGACCGAAGCAUCACCAGAUCUGAUUUAUACUUCAAGGACCUAUUUCGUCGGUGUGGAUUGCACCUGUAUAAAAUAAAGGUUAUGGCGGUAAAGGGGUCAACUUGACGUAGUUACGCAACUUGGACUUACACCAUAAAAUUCAACCAAAUUCCAACAAAGAUUAGUUGCCAACCCAUCUAGUUGUGUCUGUUACACAUAACCUUUGACUUGCAACAUAACAAUCCCAAGAUGACACAUCUAAAACUGAUAAGUUUAUAUAGAUCAUGCACUAAUAGCCUCAUAUGUUGCCAUUGUCUUAACAACUAAGUCUCUAAGCAAACAUUCAAAAAUUUAGAUCUUGAAACGUUAAAUUACAAGGUCUAGCUAAAAAUCCAAUGAUAGGUGCGGGCUUUAGACGAUGAGAGAGGGCUUCUCCUAUUGUGAAGCCCUCGUUCCAUUGACUUUCAGAUGUGCCCCAAGAACAUAACUUCAGUGAGAGGCGGUGAGUGAUCUAUAUUGUUUGAUAAGUUUUAGAUAUCAUAUCAUCUUUUGUAUCCUUUUAUUCUUAUUUGAUGUUGCUGAGUUGAAUCGAUAAGGGUGUGAUUUCUAGUUGCAUGUUCGAAGUUCCCAUUAGAAAUGGGGGCAGGUUUGGUUUGCAAUCCCCCCACUUCAGUUUAGGGUUUUCAACUAUCAUAAUGUAUCCUUCCUUUUGUUAUUGAUUUGUUUAUUGUUUUGAAAACAGGACCAGAAAGGACUCCCUGAGGAAUUGUUUGCUGUAAAGACGUAUGCUUUAACAACUGAAGGGCCAAAGAAGGUUCUUAAGACAAGAUCCAAGGCGCAAGCCAACAGACCUGGCAUCAUCAAAUGAUUUGUUGCCUCUAACUUCUUGCAUUGUUGUAGGAGCACUCAAACUUUCUGGUGCUUCCUAUGUAAUUUAUUAGUGUAUUACCUCAAAUUGUUUACUUUAUAAGCUCUCUGUGGACAAAUUUUGUCCUUUUUCGUUUGAAGCUGUAUAUAUAUCUCUGAUAUACCUUUGAGUUGAAUUUAUAAACAUAUAUACUUAAUUUUUUAAUUAUUGCUUUCAUAUUUUAAUUUUAUCUUAAAUUUUUAUUUUUUUUACUUUUCAAACAAAAAUAAAGAGUAAAUUUUAGUAUUCCUUUUUACCAAUUCUGUAAUCCUUAGCCUAAUAAUAUUUUACACGUAUAUUUUUGUUCCUAUUCGCAAGACCGGCCCUCUCUCAUAUUUUUGUGUUAUGUUCCAAACGGUGCCGUUUGGCACCUUGUUCCUUACAACCCUAACUAUAAAUUCAUUCUUUUCUCUCUUACUUCGCUUCAUUUUUCCCCUUCUCUCUGAACCGUCGGUGGCUCCCUCUCACAUCUCUCUAAACCAUCAGUUCAUUUCCUCCUCUCUUUCUCUUUCGGCUGGAUGUAAUGAGAAUCUCCCAACCCCAGAAAAAGGAAAUCAACUUUCUCUCCCUCACACUGCCAGAACCUUCCUUUCACCCUCACAAAUCAUUCCCCAACCGAACCCAUUUCCCAGAUCUCUUUCUUUGUAAGCAUUGGAUUUUUGUUUUGGUGCUUUUUUGCCUUUUGGUUGUGGUAUCCGGUUGCUAGAUUAAAAAGUUAGAAAUUUUUUUGCUCUCUUCUGGAGAUUUUUGUUGAAAAAGCCCCUCCUUUUGUGAAGAUUUCUCUUUUUAUAUAUAGAGGCCGAAAAUUCUCUCCUUAGUAUUCGGUCGGCCAUUGAUUCUCUCCUUAUCAGGGUUAUCCUAAUUUUCAUUGAAUAAAAAUGAAAAGGAAAGAUAGACUUCUAAGAUAAUAAAAACAAAAAUAAAAUAAUAAUAAAAGUGCAUAAAAAAAUAGUAUCUACAACUUGAGGGAAUCUAUGUUUAGUUCUCAUAUGUAGGUUUAAAUUUUUUUUUCUUUGUUUGAGAUGGAUAUCAAACCCUUUCUUCAUGAACACCACUUGCUCUAUGAUGACUAUGAUGGAUCAGAGGCACUUUGUAAUAUAUGCAAUCAGAAAAUUCGUGGUAUGGCUUAUUGUUGUGAAAGAUGCAAAUUCUCAUUGCAUGAUUCUUGUGCUCAUCAACAGCUACCUCCUCAGAUAAGCGAUCCUUGCCAUCUCCAACACAACCUUACUCUCGAAAGGUCAAAUUACAUAGAUUACAUAUGUGCUAAAUGUUUCAAUCUUUCUCGAGGCCAUAGAUAUCAUUGCAAAGAGUGUGAUUUUAGCCUUGGGUAUCAAUGUGCUUUUUCAACUAAUGAUGAGAAAAAUAAACUCAAUGAUGAGACAUCUAAAAAAAUUGGUGAUUUUAUCGUCUUUAAUUAUAGGAGAGUGAGAAAGUAUGAGUAUAUAUGUAGUUGGUGUGAGAACCAUUUGUCCGGAAUGUCUUAUGCUUGUCUUGGCAGUGGUGCUUAUUUCUGGUUCCAUGAUUCCUGCCUAAUCAACAUGCCUAGCAUAAUCUUCAAACACCCAUUUCAUCCAUCACACCCUCUUUCAUUAUGCAACAGUCACUUUGAUUAUCGGUUGUGCAAUGCUUGCAACUUACCAGUAUGGGAGUUUAUAAAAGCCUAUCGUUGUAGAAAAUGUGAAUUCUACCUUCAUGUUCAUUGUGCUAAACUACGACCCAGUCUUAAGGUUGAGUUACAUGAGCAUGAUCUUACUUUUUUUCGAAUAAAAGUUAAUAUCGCUUCCCACCGAUGCAGGAUAUGCGGUUUUGAUUUUGAUGCUUCAGGGGAUGAAAGUGCUUUUUAUCGUUGUGUCCAUUGUAAUUUCAAUUACCAUUUCGAAUGUCUUACAAUACCACAUUCUACUUCACACAAGUAUCAUAGGCAUGAUCUCAUGCUUAUGGAUUCAUUUAUAGAAGAUGUUUCUGAAGAAUAUAAUUGUGAUAUAUGUGAAGAAGAAAGAAAACCCAAACAUAGUGUUUUUUGUUGCAAGAAAUGCAAAUUUGUUGCUCACAUCGAAUGUGCACUCAAUAAGGUAAGGGGACAUUUACUCUCUCUCUCUAGAGAAAUUUAAUAAAUAUUUUUUUAUUAGAUAAACUAUUAAUUAUUUGAUCAUAGGUCACAUGUAAUGUGCCCCUUAGAAAAAUUUUGAUGCUAAUGUUUUCACUUCCUCAGGUUGUAGAUACGAAACUUGAUCAAAGUUUGACCUUUAGUUUGUUGGAUAACAAAGCUUCAACAUCGAAGGUAAUGGAAUUGGGUCUUCUAUAUUGAUAUUAUUGUGAUGUUUUCACUUGCCAAUAAUGUUUUUUUUUUUAAGUUUACAUCACUUGAGGUCUUCUAUGAUUCUUUGGAUUUAUAUAUUAUAAAGAUUUUGUAGUAAUAAACACUAUUUAUGUUUUUGAAUAAAAUUCAAUAAAAAAAAUAAAAAAUGUAAAUAAUAUAGGUAAGAAACCUCUACUUAUAUAACAGUAUUCAAAAUUAAUUUGGAGAUGGCUUUAGUAAAAAUAUUGAAUGCUGAAUAAAAUAAAAACACAUACUAGCAUCAUGUUAAUUUCUGAAUAUAUAUAUUUGAUUAUUUAAUUAUUGCUUCCAUAGUUUAGUUUUAUCUUAAAUUUUCAUUUCAUUUACUUUUUAAACACAAUUAACAAGUAAAUUUUACUAUUAAUUUUGACCUAUUUGUAAUUUUUUGGUUUUCAUUCACCAUUUUGAAUUUGUUUCAAAACCAUCUGUAUAUUAACAUGUCAAUAAAAUAUAAAUGAAAUUUGUCACGUAAAUUCCACAUAUUAUGUGAAUUAUGUGAAUGUAGUCACAUGGACAUAACUGUAGUGCUUAGAUGGCAAAUCCGUUUCAUAUUUAAUAGUGUAUUGAUGGAUAGAUGAAUUUAAAAUAAAUUUAAAAAAACGUAGAUGGAAAAAAUCGAGUUUGUUUAGUCAUAAAUGAAAAUAAAAUAUUAUGACAAUGCUACAAACUAAGAAUGCACUUUACUUAAAAAAUGGAUGAAGAUUAAUAACUUUCUUCACUCAACCUGGUUGUGCAGGUGCAAAUUGAACAUUUUGAUCAUCAACAUCCCUUAAGCUAUAAUGAGACAAUUGAACAGAAUGAAAGUCUUCUUUGCAAUGCUUGCCGUCAAGAAAUUUUUUAUCAACACUAUGCUUGUGAAGAUUGUAAAUACUACUUACAUGAAACGUGCACUACAUUGCCGUAUGAAGUGUCACACCCUCUUCAUUGCCAGCAUCUUCUCAAGCUCUUCACGGAUAUAGUUGAAUUUACAUGUCAUGGAUGUAGGGAACAUUCUGGUGGGUUUGCUUACAUGUGCCUUCCUUGUGAUUUCCAACUUGAUGUGAAAUGUGCUACUACUCCAAUCCCACCUCAAAAUGAGAGGCAAAAGCUGAAAGAGAUGGAGAAAGUUUCCAAGUUGUGCCCUUUCAAUCAAAAUCAUAAGCUAGACUUCUUCAACCGUAGACUCAAUUUCAAAGAUUUGGCUUUGGAAUGCGAUGCUUGCAAGCUACCAAUCUUGGGUCCAGGUUAUACUUGUCGUGAUUGUUUCAAUAUCAAAAUUCAUGAAUCUUGUCUUGCACUUAUGCGGGAGAUGCAACACACAUUUCAUCUGUUACACCCGCUUCAUCCACAAAUCGGCGAUUGGGAAAAUUGUUCUGCUUGUAGAUUUAAAAUCAUUGAGAGUAUUGGUUAUAGUUGUCGGCAGUGUGAUUUCCACCUUCAUCUUCAUUGUGCUAAUUCCUUGAAGCUAGCUUUAAAAAUUAAGUCUCACAUGCAUAAUCUUUAUUAUUUUGGACCAGAUUAUGAGAAAUCUUACCAAUUAUGUAACAAAUGCAAAAGUUACAUUGGUAAGGAACCUUUCUAUUAUUGCGUGGAGUGCAAUAUGAAUUUGCACUUAAAAUGUGUUCCCA
rnacentral:lncRNA from 1 species